rnacentral:lncRNA from 1 species
ACCAGAAACAUAACGCACCAGCACAUAUACAGAGUUUAAUUCCCCCUCCAUGUCCAUGGAUGUGCUGAAAAACAAUACUGCAGAUUUAACGAUAAUCCACCAGAAAUAUUAACCCUGUCAGAAAUUUAAUACAAUACCUCGAUUUUGGGCUCGAGAAUAGCUCGAUCGAGAGAAUGAGAGAGAGAUAGCAGCAGGUGCGUGUAGUUUGUCUGUGAUGUGGUUGAGACAGAGAGACUCGAAGAAGGUGGGCUGAAGAGAGACAGAGUCGAGAGAGAUGAGAGGGUUCGAGUCGAGAGGAGGCCGAGUCUCAGAAAUUCAGAAUGACAGAAUGACACAGGAUUCGCUCCUCGAACAUUUCUCAGUCUUUCUGUCGAAACUCGCGCUCUUAAUUUGCAUGCGAGACCAAAUUGAUAUUGUUCCUUUUUAAGUCAAAACAUUAGUGAGAUUUUUUUUCUAGUAACAAAAGAAGACGGAGGAGAUCCGUCAAUCGAGGUCUCUGUCGAUCCUGGUUUGCCUUUUGUAGUUUGAGAUCCUUCAAGAGAGACUUCUAAGGAGAUCUGUCGAGUUUAGAGUUUUACUCAAUUUGGUUUUUAUUGUUCUUUUUUUUAUUUGGGUUUUUUUUUUGCAUUUGGUACUAUUUAGGAAAUUAGGUGGAUACAAAAUUUUAGAUUUGAGAUUUUCUAAAUCUUGGUUCAAAUUAGGAAUAUCUGCAGUUUGGUUCUAGAAUUUGGAUUUUCUGUCUUCCGAAAGUUUGAACUAGGUUUUUCAAUUGGAUCAGAAAAUGGACUUGUGGACCCGCUGGAGCCGGCCUGUUUCAAACGGUCCGAGUUGGGUUCGGUUCCAUUUUUUAAAACGUGACUACUAGCCCAGCCUCACCCCAUGUUAUUUCCAAAAGAGUAUAGUCCUGUUUCAUUAAAUUUGGAGCCGGCCUGGCCUGGCCUGUGCCCCCUAGUAUGAACACUAUUCAGGUUUUUUUUCACAAAUCAAACUCAAAUAAAAGGGACAGUAGAAGGGGCCAAAUUAUGAGAACUAACUAGAGGUGCAGAUUUUAUAGAACAAGAAAUGACAGAAACUGCUAUGGUAUAUAUUUCUUCCAAUUCAAGCAUCUGAAGUCGUUUCGUACUUUAAAAGGUGGUUAGCCUAUUUGUAUUGGUACAGAAACCGGAUGAAAAAAUUUGGUCUUCUCGAUUUGGAUUUGAGAUUUCUUCAAAUAUUGGAAAGUGACGCCAUAUUAAGAGCUAGUUGAUUAGUGAAGAUAUGAUGCAAACAAAAUAAGAAAGAUGAAUAACCAAACCAUAAACAACUCCAUAACAUGGAAAAACUAACACUUUUUUCUGUUACGCAAUCUAAUAGAUGGAUAUUUGUUUGUAUAAGAAGUAUACAACAAAAACGAAUGCCAUCACUUGGACACAUACAGGCAAUGGGUGGAAUGCUGCAGCCAGUCGCCUAAGCUCAUACUUAGGAGGCCACUUCACCCUCUUGCUUGAUUUUCUGCAGCAAAUCAAGAAAUGCUCAGGAAACCUUAUGGGCUACAAAAACCAAAGAACCAAUUUGAAUGUAGUGAUGGCAAAAUUGGUUUUACAAUCUCACAAGGGAAAUUGUUAUUAACAGUCCAAAAAGGUCAUCUGACACACCUCUUUCCUUUAUUUUGUAAUUAGUGACAAGAACAGAUGUUAAAUAUUUAGCGUACUCCUCAGCACCAACCAUCGUAAUCUGUAAACUUGAGGCUUCUCACUGUGUGUGUGUGUGUGUUGGAGAUAAGUGUUGUUUUAUCUCCAGAAGAUGAAGAACCGUUAAACAAGAGCGUCCAAAAUGACUCAAAACCAAAAUGUAUUUAUGUGAUCAGUAUAACCGCAGUUUCCUAUCGAUCAAUACGUUAUAACAGCAGUUUAACAAAGCCAAGAGAAGUAGAAUCUGGCACUGUCAUAUAGGAAUGCCUAUCAUCAUAAGGAGCAAGGCUUCCAUGAAAGUUUACACAUGUGGAGAGGUGCAAGAUAGAUUAAGGGUUAUUGUGCCAAUUCAAACAUUAAAAAAAAGAAAAAGAACAGUUCAGCUAAAGUCCACCUCUGUUUAUCUAGAAGCAAGAAAUGUGCAUAAGUUAUAUUAGAAAAAGGAAUGAACUUACAUCAUGGCGAUGAAACCAUCUAAGGCAUUGUUCUUCUUGGCUCUCCCCUGUGAAAUAACCCAAUUUUAUUAUUAAAAACAAGAGCUCACAGACAAGUAAAAAGCUUGUCGACCAAAGAAAAAGACAAGUACAAAACUUGGGGCUUGUUUGGUUUCCUUCCCGGAUCCAAUUUUUUGUUUUCACAAAUGAUGAAUGUAGCUAAAUUCCUUCAUUCUCAUUAGUCUCAAAACAAAAAAUUGGCUUCUAUUGAUAAAAGGUAUUUAACAAGGAAAAAGAUAUCGUAUAGAUGUAUAUUCAGUCACCUUUUUAUGAACCAACCGAAAACUCUCCUCUUCUUCAGGCUCAAAAUCCUCACAUUUUCUGAGACAUGAAAUACUCGGAAAUCAAAUGAAGUUGCAAUAAACCAUAUAACAAAAUUUUGGAAUAUUGAACUGAAUAUUACAAAGAAGAAACAAAAAAAUGGAGGAGAAAGUAUGAACUUACGGCAUAAAGCUGAAACAAAUACGAAGUGUACCAUAAUGUCCUAUGUGGAAAUCACACACACUAGAAUCUAAAGUCUUGAUAUGCAUUGUUUCAUCAUCACAGACAAUUUCGAAUGUGGUGAUAAACAUCUCUUGAGACUCCUUCCAAUCAGUUGAGAUAGUUUGAAGAAGACAGAACUCCAACUUCCCCAAAUGAACCAAAUACUCUGUUGGCCUAGAAAUACGACCAGAUUCCGUACUGUCCGCAACCCUACUCUCCAGUCCUGGCAAAAAGAAUGGUUCCUCUAGCGAAUAGGUAAUACGACCAUCAUUCCCUAUUUUCAUCUUAAGUGAGAACGCUAUAACCUUUCCACGUUGUAUAGAUAAGGCAUAUAUAGAGUUGCCUACAACCACGACCCUCCCUCGAAAAGCAGAAUAAUAAGCUUCCUUUCUAGAUAUAUCAACUUGAUGCCAGGUAUUAUUGUCUAUAUGAAAAACCAUGAACUCAAAUCGAAAAUUGCAUGUUGAAACCAAAAUACAUCCAUGACAAACAGCAUAACCUGCUAUCUGCAUGUUGGACCGUUCCCGAGAAUAUGCAAAAUGAGUAAGAGAUUCCCAAGAAUCAGUUUUGGAAUCAUACCGCUCAAACAAUACCUUCGGCAUUACUCGGAAGCACUGUGGAGAUGCAAGAUUAUAAAGCUUUCCGUAUGCAGACAUAAGAUAUGAAACUGGCUUAGGUGCUAAAGGAGGCUCGAAUGUUUCCAAUGACAGAAUGACACAGGAUUCGCUCCUCGAACAUUUCUCGGUCUUUCUGUCGAAACUCGCGCUCCUAAUUUGCAUGCGAGACCAAAUUGAUAUUGUUCCUUUUUAAGUCAAAACAUUAGUGAGAUUUUUUUUCUAGUAACAAAAGAAGAUGGGGGAGAUCCGUCAAUCGAGGUCUCUGUUGAUCCUGGUUUGCCUUUUGUAGUUUGAGAUCCUUCAAGAGAGACUUCUAAGGAGAUCUGUCGAGUUUAGAGUUUUACUCAAUUUGGUUUUUAUUGUUCUUUCUUUGAUUUGGGUUUUUUUGCAUUUGGUACUAUUUAGGAAAUUAGGUGGAUACAAAAUUUUAGAUUUGAGAUUUUCUAAAUCUUGGUUCAAAUUAGGAAUUUCUGCAUUUUGGUUCUAGAAUUAGGAUUUUCUGUCUUCCGAAAGUUUGAACUAGGUUUUUCAAUUGGAUCAGAAAAUGGACUUGUGGACCCGUUGGAGCCGGCCUGUUUCAAACGGUCCAAGUUAGGUUCGGUUCCAUUUUUUAAAACGUGACUACUAGCCCAACCUCACCCCGUUUUAUUUCCAAAAGAGUAUAGUCAAGUUUCAUUAAAUUUAGAGCCGGCCUGGCCUGGCCUGUGCCCCCUAGUAUGAACACUAUUCAGGUUUUUUUUCACAAAUCAAACUCAAAUAAAAGGGACAGUAGAAGGGACCAAAUUAUGAGAACUAACUAGAGGUGCAGAUUUUAUAGAACAAGAAAUGACAGAAACUGCUAUGGUAUAUAUUUCUUCCAAUUCAAGCAUCUGAAGUCGUUUCGUACUUUAAAAGGUGGUUAGCCUAUUUGUAUUGGUACAGAAACCGGAUGAAAAAAUUUUGUCUUCUCGAUUUGGAUUUGAGAUUUCUUCAAAUAUUGGAAAGUGACGCCAUAUUAAGAGCUAGUUGAUUAGUGAAGAUAUGAUGCAAACAAAAUAAGAAAGAUGAAUAACCAAACCAUAAACAACUCCAUAACAUGGAAAAACUAACACUUUUUUUUCUGUUACACAAUCUAAUAGAUGGAUAUUUGUUUGUACAAGUAAGAAGUAAACAACAAAAACGAAUGCCAUCACUUGGACACAUACAGGCAAUAGGUGGAAUGCUGCAGCCAGUCGCCUAAGCUCAUACUUAGGAGGCCACUUCACCCUCUUGCUUGAUUUUCUGCAGCAAAUCAAGAAAUGCUCAGGAAACCUUAUGGGCUACAAAAACCAAAGAACCAAUUUGAAUGUAGUGAUGGCAAAAUUGGUUUUACAAUCUCAUGAGGGAAAUUGUUAUUAACAGUCCAAAAAGGUCAUCUGACACACCUCUUUCCUUUAUUUUGUAAUUAGUGACAAGAACAGAUGUUAAAUAUUCAGCGUACUCCUCAGCACCAACCAUCGUAAUCUGUAAACUUGAGGCUUCUCACUGUGUGUGUGUGUGUGUGUGUGUGUGUGUGUGUGUGUGUGUGUGUGUGUGUGUGUGUGUUGGAGAUAAGUGUUGGUUUUAUCUCCAGAAGAUGAAGAACCGUUAAACAAGAGCGUCCAAAAUGACUCAAAACCAAAAUGUAUUUAUGUGAUCAGUAUAACCGCAGUUUCCUAUCGAUCAAUACGUUAUAACAGCAGUUUAACAAAGCCAAGAGAAGUAGAAUCUGGCACUAUCAUAUAGGAAUGCCUAUCAUCAUAAGGAGCAAGGCUUCCAUGAAAGUUUACACAUGUGGAGAGGUGCAAGAUAGAUUAAGGGUUAUUGUGCCAAUUCACACAUUAAAAAAAGAAAGAGAAAAAGAAAAAGAACAGUUCAGCUAAAGUCCACCUCUGUUUAUCUAGAAGCAAGAAAUGUGCAUAAGUUAUAUUAGAAAAAGGAAUGAACUUACAUCAUGGAGAUGAAACCAUCUAAGGCAUUGUUCUUCUUGGCUCUCCCCUAUGAAAUCACCCAAUUUUAUUAUUAAAAACAAGAGCUCACAGACGAGUAAAAAGCUUGUCGACCAAAGAAAAAGACAAGUAAAAAAAACUUGGGCCUUGUUUGGUUUCCUUCUCGGAUCCAAUUUUUUGUUUUCACAAAUGAUGAAUGUAGCUAAAUUCCUUCAUACUCAUUAGUCUCAAAACAAAAAAUUGGCUUCGAUUGAUAAAAGGUAUCUACUCCUUAAUGAACAGUAAUCGCCUUUUGCAUCUCCACCCCUACACUGAAUAGUCCUGGCAAUUGACAAUAAAAUAUUAUUAUUAAUAUUAUUAUUUAUAAUUAAUAUUAUAUUAUUUACUUUGUAUAAAUUAAUAUUAUAUUAUUAAUUUAUCUUUUCCUUUUGAUCUUCCCGAAACUUCUACCAUUUUUCUUUCUUCUUCCUUCCCACUUCUUCCUUCCCGAAAUUUUCUUCCUUGCACUGCAAAUUUAUGUUUUACAACUCCAAAUUUGAUUUCGUUUUUUCUUACAAAUUUCUGGAGAAGAGCACUGCAAGGUAAUUGACUUUUGGGUUUACCGCAGAUUUUGAUAUUUUGUGUGAUUUCUGUUUCGUUUUUCCAGAAUCCGGCGAGCUCCGUGACCAAUCCCGACCAAGCUCGACCACGGUUGUUACUUACAGUGGUAAAAUCUUGUUCCUUUUCAUUUUAGCAUCAUUUUUGUGCUUAAAUUACAAUUUUUAAUGGAGUUUUAAGUCGAGAUCAGAAUCGGGAUGAAUCCCUACCAAAUAUUCCGGUGUUCUCCCUUGAGGGUUCCGGUGACCCAUGUUUUAAAUCGUGGCUGACGUCGCCCAGACGUCAGCCUUGCAUCAUGUCGCCUUCGGGCUCUCGAGCUAGCAACUCGUGCCAGGCCUGUCCCUCGGGCUGCCACACGCUGGACCAAAUCCGUCAGGCUCUCUGGCCCUGUUCACCCCCUGUCCCCCGAGCAAGAGCUCCCGCUGGAGCUGCUCUUAGUGGAAAAGUAUGCAAACGGUAGAGUGAUUCUAAUUGGAGUCAAGUUUAAGAAAUGAGCCUUUUAAGGACAGCUCAUUCAUUGAGAUUUAAGGAAAGUUUGGAGGCAAGAAAAAUGUUAAUUGAAAUCAAAUUGUAAUCUGCUUAAGAUUAUAAUACCCGUUACAGAUUGUUUUUCCUUCUUCGUUAGUUGGAAUCAAAUUGUGCUAUAUUGUAUUUAAUCAAUGAAAAAUGUUAAUUUCACACUUCAAGCCUCUGGAUCUCAAUAUGAAUCUAAAAUUUGCUUAAGACAAUGGUGGGAAAAUGUAUUCAACGUUUUAUGUUCGUAUGCAAUAGUAAACUGCACAAUCACUAUAUCAGCCACUCAAACUUCACAAGUCUACAUUUCUGUAAGAAUCUAAAGGAUAAAUUGAUAUUGCAUAAUCUGCUAUUCACUUCCUAAACUCUCUCUCUCUCUCUCUCUCUCUCUCUCUCUCUCUCUCUCAUAAUGUAUCACGCAGAUGUGUAUGUAUAUUCCUAUACCCUGAUUUCUCCAGUUACAGAAAUUACAUUUAUUUUUUGUCUGCAGAAACAACUCUGGUCUUCCGUGGAAGUCAUAUGAACAACCACAGCCCGCAGUAGCCGGCCAGGCCACACCAUCUUCGUCUACAAUUAGUUGAGUAAAUUCCACAUUCAUCGUCUGUUAAACAUCUGUGGUCACUACAAUCAUCUGGGACGUGGCAAGCACUCUCAACUUGUUCUCCGCCACAUUCCCACGAAUUCAUUGUUGUAGGAGGACAUACUUGCACACACAUCGCGCUUGCUUUCCGGUCUGCACAAAUUAAAACGUCACGACCAAUAUGAAUUAGCAGGUAAUGGUAUACUGCACUGACCUCAAAGUAUCAAAUGCAGCUAAAAAUUGAAAAACAAAAAAACCAAUGGUUGUUUUCUCGCUAGUUGCACAGUGAAAGGGAAAAACAACUCUUACGUCUCAGCAAGGAAGAAACUAUGCUGAUGGUCUUCCAACUGCGUAGUUGUGACAUCUCUGAUGUUAGCAAAACCUCGUUCCACUUUGGUGUAUAGGUUCAGAGAAUUUAGAAUUGACUCCCCCACUUCAAUAUACCAUGGACCUGAUAAAAGAAACAAAACGACACAAAAAAUCAGAAAAGUUGUCACUUAGGGCCCAGAAAUGUCUGAAUUCUUACAAAAUAUCACCUGAACUUUUAGGUCCAUGUGGAAAUGAAGAUAACUAAUAAGAAAAUUAUCAAACAUUUAGUUGCUUGAUACAAGUCGAAAGUUGAUUCCGCCAAUUCAGGGCGCAGAGGAUAAUACUUUUCUGUGGGAUGCAACGUUGAUGGUCCAACAAAUACCUACAUUCUUUUACAGUUCAUAUUAGACAGUUUUCUUUUCUUUUCUUUUUUCCUUAUAAGAAAUACUGCGGUAACCUCUCUGGUAUUACUCCACACUUUUUCAAUACAUUGCAGCUGCAAUAUCGCCAACAUGAACCUAAAUCAUAGUUUGUAUCUCAGGAUUAGAAGACUCUUUCUGAGGUUGAAGUCAUUAUAGACCAGUAUGACAAGUUUUAGAUUCCCUCCCUGUAAGCCACGCCAAAAUGCCUGAAGGCUUGUAAGCUGCCAAUACGUUGCUUUUCCUGUCCUCAUAUCAGCUUCAUGGUAAUAUGCGUUACCACAAAAACUUUGCAGCCUACUCAUCUCAAUUUAAUCUUACAGCUAGAAUCCAAACUUUUAACACUUGGAAAGUACCAAUAAUGAAUUGAAUAAGGCAUUCAAAAAGGCUAGGAAGAAAUGUUGUACCAUGGACCAUGUCUGAAAUAUUUCUGCACAGCAGAAUGAAACAUCCUCCAGAACUCAUUUCCAACAAGGAUGUGGCCCUUAAAUAGAUAGUCAUCCCCUAAACGAAGAAACACAUAAUCCAACAUCAGAAACAUCAAACUCUACGCACUAAAAAUACAUUUAAGGAAUGGGCACGGCAACAGAUUGCACAAGGAAAUAUUGGCCCUUGUACUAUUUGGGAAACCCAGUAAACUACUAAAUAUACUUGUAAUGCGGUGCAUUAAAGUUCUCAAAGCCCCGAUGAAACCUACCAGCUCCAAUUCCGGAAGAAUACACAAUCCAUUCACCAGUUGAUAUAUCCAGCGUUGUACCGAGUAAAUUCAACGAACUGCACAUGCCCCAUAAUUCACGAAGAGCACAUAAAGCUGCCGAUUCAUAUUUGGGGUCUCCAAUCAAUCGGGACAAUGCUCCCAUUCCCAGAAUUAGAGAACCUGAAUUCAUACGAAAAAUCAUGAGAUUCAGGAAAGUCAAAUUUAUUGAUGUCCUCAUCUGAAUGCUGCAAAAGAAAGCCCCUCACCACACCCUGAAGUGCUCAUUUCAGUAGUCUCAUUCUCCAUCACUCCAUCCACAGAAUUUAGCGUUGAUGCGGAGUCAUAUAUCCUUCUUACAAAGAAAACCACCAAACAAUUUUGUAUAGUUUUGAAACUUGAACUCUUGAAAAGAUUAUGCAAGAUACAACCAAGUAAACGUAAUUGUAUAGACUCAUUCGGUUGCGCUCCCAUAAUCGAUAGUGGCUUUUAGGUCUUGACUCAUUCGGUUGUACAUUCUGGUUGAAUUCCAGCCCAUAUACCUCGAAAAAGGAUCAACUUGGAACAUGAUAUUAAAGUCAUGUUGAGAUAUAAUAUUUUGUUCAAAGGCCUGACCUAUCCGGAAGAAGUACUUCAGUCUCUUCUGAGAACUCAUGAGGAAAGGGUGUCUAAUGAGUUUUUCAACAUAGCUUUCGAACCUAUGAAAACAUAUUUAGAAGGACAGAGAGCAAUACAUAUGUUAGGUGUACUUAUUGCAUAAAUGUUGUCUUGUUCCAGGUGACUAAGGAACGCAUGGUUAAUUACUCACUCUCUUGUUUUUGAAUUUGAUAUCAAGGAUUGAGAAACAUUUAAAGCACAUUUAUUUAUUCUCUCCUCCAUUGAUAUCAAAUGUAACGGUGAGUGACCAUGAAAUCUUGGUACCAAUAGAGAAUGGGACUCAUAGCCAUUAUAUCAAAGCAUUCUUACUCUAUAGGUUUGUCGAAGAAAUCCAGAAACAAGUUUAGGUCCCUCCAUGUCUUUGGCAACCUUUCCCUUAGAAAGUCUCUGAAUUGUAUGAAGUCGUUCCUCAUGCUUGCUUUAGACAUGGUAGCAUUCUGAGACUUGAUAUUUAUAAGUUUUAAUUCCCCGUCUUGAAUGAUAUAACUGGAAUGCAUGUCCAAACCAGAGUGGGUUAGUUUCUGUUUGUGGGUGGACGCAAUGCUCUUCAGGAUUCUCCUGCAACAUUUAAACAACAAAAGAAGAAAGGUAAUUACUUGAUUGAUGCAAAUGUAUUCAAAAGAUAAUUCAACAGAAGAAGAAUAAUUACUUGAUUGAUUUGAGCCACCACAUUUAUCAAAUCCUUAUCAAAAAUGUUAAGUGAUAAAAAAAUUAAAAAAAUUAAGGGGCACUUGUUCCUACUAAAGAAGCAGAUGCAAUAGAGGCAUAGGUGGUUUAAGAACCAAUCUGGAACCAGUUGUUUACCUUGUCGGCUCGGAACCAAAAGCAUCAGUAUAAGUCCCCCAGUUGCAGUUUAUUCUAUUGAUAUAAAGCUAGCUAGAGUAUAGAUGGAGGCAGCAGAAGCAGUGGUUGAAGCCCCCAAAUGGGAACCUAUCGAACGAGAAUUAUUAGUAGUGCUGCUCCCCAAAUGGAGAAAGGGCAUUAGAGCAAUAGACGGAAUGAGUCUUAGUUUCAAUAUUAAUAAUUCUCGUUUGAUAGGUUCCCAUUUGGGGGCUUCAACCACUGCUUCUGCUACCUCCAUCUAUACUCUAGCUGACUCUAUAUCAAUAGAAUAAACUGCAACUGGGGGACUUAUACUAAUGCUUUUGGUUCCAAGCCGACAAGGUAAACAACCGACUCCGGAUUGGUUCUUAAACCACAUAUGCCUCUAUUGCCUCUGCUUCUUUAGUAGGAACAAGUGCCCCUUAAUUUUUUUAUCACUUAACAUUUUUGAUAAGGAUUUGAUAAAUGUGGUGGCUCAAAUCAAUCAAGUAAUUAUUCUUCUUCUGUUGAAUUAUCUUCAUAUCUUUUGAAUAAAUUUGCAUCAAUCAAGUAAUUACCUUUCUUCUUUUGUUGUUUAAAUAUUGCAGGAGAAUCCUGAAGAGCAUUGCGUCCACCCACAAACAGAAACUAACCCACUCUGGUUUGGACAGGCAUUCCAGUUAUGUCAUUCAAGACGGGGAAUUAAAACUUAUAAACAUCAAGUCUCAGAAUGCUAUCAUGUAUGAAGCAAGCAUGAGGAACGACUCCAUACAAUUCAGAGACUUUCUAAGGGAAAGGUUGCCAAAGACAUGGAGGGACCUAAACUUGUUUCUGGAUUUCUUCGACAAACCUAUAGAGUAAGAAUGCUUUGAUAUAAUGGAUAUGAGUCUCAUUCUCUAUUGGUACCAAGAUUUCAUGGUUACUCACCGUUACAUUUGAUAUCAAUGGAGGAGAGAAUAAAUAAAUGUGCUUUAAAUGUUUCUCAAUCCUUGAUAUCAAAUUCAAAAACGAGAGAGUGGGUAAUUAACCAUGCGUUCCUUAGUCACCUGGAACAAGACAACAUUUAUGCAAUAAGUACACCUGACAUAUGUAUUGCUCUUUGUCCUUCUAAAUAAGUUUUCUUGUUUUCACAGGUUCGAAAGCUAUGUUGAAAAACUCAUUAGACACCAUUUCCUCAUGAGUUCUCAGAAGAGACUGAAGUACUUCUUCCGGAUAGGUCAGGCCUUUGAACAAAAUAUUAUAUUUAAUAUCAUGUUUCAAGUAGCGGAUCAAUUCCAACGAGCCUUUCAAACUAGAUCCUUUUUUGAGGUAUAUGGGCUGGAAUUCAACCAGAAUGUACAACCGAAUGAGUCAAGACCUAAAAGCCACUAUCGAUUAUGGGAAAAGUCGUUGGAUAACUUACGAAGGUCAUCUGUUAGUUUCGCUUGUUAUGUUUUUGAGGAAUGUCUAUGUGCACCGUGCCAAUUCUGGGAAAUAUGAGGUUCUUGACAAGGAGGUCAAUAGAUUAUAUCCUGGAUUUUUAAGCAAUUUGCACGAGUUAUUGCCAUCAAAGGAAGAACUGAAUCAACCAACCGUCCAAAUGUAAGCCGAAGGAGAAGCAGGGCAAGGUCCAAGCACGAGGUUAUUACAGGGGUAGUUUUGGAUGAGAUAGGCAUUCGCUAGAAUACGAGGGGUUUUUUUUUUCCCUCAGGCUAGAAUUAUAGAAUAGGAUAAUGCUCGUUGCAGUAUUAAUUUAUGUUUGGCAAAAAUAUUGUUCAAUUUAUUACAAAUGCUUUUUUUUCUUUUAAUCUCAGUAUUAAUUUAAACUUACGCCAGUAUUGAUCACAGUAUCAGUAAACAUAAUUCAAAUCAUAAGCGAGUAAUGAGGGAUUAAGAUGCUACUGCACCUGUGAUUCACUAUGGGUCUGCAUGUCCAGCAAUAUCAUUGUCCCUUGAGUUUGCUUUCCUCAUCACUAAUGUUCUCAUCGCGCUCCUCGUCUGGUGUUGUAUUGGUAAUGUGUUCCUUCUUUGCAUGUCGCUCACAGUACUCUGGCGUCCACAUACCACAAUGAAAAAAUGUAAACAGAAUACUUUACAUGGCAAAAAAAUCACGCGAUAAUAAAGAAGAAUUUCCCGCUAGUUUAUGCUCUGUGAGCAACCAAGGAAGAAUAGCUUCUAACUUCUAAAAAUACUCCCUGUAUAACAUCUUUGAAGCAGAAGGGACUAGCUCUGAAAAUUCAGUGGAACCUUGUAAGCAAGUAUUAGGCCAAAAGCAUUGAAUAAGGCACCGGAGAUAGACUAGUAAUUAGUGUCAUGGUCUGUGGACGGACCAUCUUGCAGAAGUCACACUCACAGCUAUGAGACGAUAUUGGAAUCCCAACUCUAGACGCGGUCAAAGGAACCAAGAAAAAGUAGGGAUAGUAUGGAACCAUCUAAUUACAAUCAAGGGCUCUUUCACACACAUGCUCAUGUUUGGAAGGUCCACCCUCUAAUAUACUUAUGUUAUUCGCAGGAGAGUUUGUGGUGAAGGUUCAAAAAUUUAGGCAUUGUUUUUUUAUUAGUUUGAGCAUAUUUAGUGAAAGAAGGGUAUAUUAAUUGCAGAUGAAGUUAUACCUUUGACCUUCUGAUCAUAGAGUUUUCAGUCCUUCAUCAUCAAUGAUGCUGCAUCACCGUUGAGCGGACCUGAAAGAUUUGGAUAAAGCAACAGUUGUGGAAGGAAAACUUCAAAAACUUUUAAAAGGUCUGCAUCAAGAAAAUCCAUCACCAUAUAUGUGAGAAAUCCAAGAAGACCAAAUGAAGAAGAAAAAAACAAACAAGAAGUGAAACAGAAUGGAACCGCAAUACAUCACCGACUCGUAAAAGGGUAUAAUGACACAAAACCAACAUUUCAGCGGUAUAUUGAAAAAAGAGAGUCAGAAUUUUACUAAAAUGGGAUGAUAAUUACCAAACAUUGGACUCCAUGAUUGGUUAAUUACAUCUUAAGCAGACAGAAGCAGAUGUGCAAUUACGAAAGAAAAAUAAAACAGUCGGUACAUACAAGAUUAACAACAAUAAACAAUUACUCAAGUCCUGUUGCUUACUAAUGAAAUUAAUUAGAAACCAUGCUUUCAAAACAACAGACUUACAAAAAGGAUUUGAUAAUCAACCGCAGGAUAAUAGCAUUCUUAAUUUCUAAAUAAACUUGAUACUUCCGCCCUGUUUGACCCAAAUUUGCCGGCGUGCCACUAGAAGCAGGGGCGUCAGACAUUACUUUCUUUUGAACCAUGGAAUUCCACAUUGAAUUCAUUUAGCCCAUCGUUUAUUGUCUCCACGUUAUAGUCACUCAGCAGCCUGAAAGUCAUUGAGAAAAGAAAGGAGAACAAAAGCAUUAGAAAUAGUGUUCCAAAGCUUUAUAUCAUACCAGAGAUGAAGUUAGCAACCUGAUUUUACAGCUACCAAAAAUCAGAGAGACAAUCUUGAAAUAUCACAAUCAUGGGAAAUCUUAAACUCCACAACAGGAAUUCAACUUUAAAAUUGGGUCAUCACAAUAUGAUCAAACAAAUGCAAUUCCACCGUUUUCUGCACAGAAUAAUAAAGAUAAAAACUUUGAGCAAUAAUGGGAUUCCAAAAGUUCUUCUUUCCAAAUUAUUAGACAUACCCAGUGAGGCAUUAUAGCAUUUCACCAAAAACUUUCAUUGAAAAAUUGAAAGAUUUUGUGAAUUAAUGUCAUAAGUGCUUGUGAAGUCUAACAAUCAAAAGCAAGCUGAAAUCCUUUGAAGAUCUAAGACCUACCCAGAAAACCAUAUACAAAUGAAAAUUAAAAAAAAAAAAUAUAUAUAUAUAUAUAUAUAAAGAGAGAGAGAGAGAGAGAGAAUGAGAACUGGGUAUCUUAACAAGAUCUACUUAAUUGAAGAUUUUCCCGAGAUCCAAACAGAAAAUUGAGAAAAUUUGGAAAUGGAGAAGAAAAUGCCGGGGGAGCGAAUGUCGACAUAUUCAGAGUUCAGAGCCACGUAUUCAUGGUUGUAAAGAUAAAUUUGGUCGAUAAUUAUUUUUUUUAGUGGUGAUUCAUUUCUGUUCAUUUUGUUCUUCUAGUUUUUUUUUUAAGAAAAUGGUUUGAAAAUGUUGAGUUUUAAUGAUAAGGACAAAAUAAAGGGUAAAGUGAAUAGUAUUAGGUUUAACUUUUUAGUGUAAAAAUAUAAUUUUUCGUUAAAGUGAACAGUAGUGGACUUUUCGUUAAAGUUUUUUUUUUAUUUUUUUUUUUUUUUUAUCAUUCGUUGAUUUCAAUCAGUAACAUCAAACUACUAUGUUACCAACAUAAAGUUAAACAUACAUCAACAAACCCUAAUUGAAAAAAAAAACCCAAUCAGAACCAUGAUUUAAAGGUCUCACUCUAAUCUUCCCCGGAGGCUGAUUCGUUCUUGGUGCUGUGCUUCCUGGCAUACCUCCGGUUCCUCAGAAACUUGGGGUCAUCCUUUUGGUGGAAGUGUGGCGGUGCCUCUUAGGCUUCUUGAUGUAUGUCAAUCUUCUGGGGCCUUGCGGGACUGGUGUCGACUUGGCCAUCUCCGAAAGAGAAUGAUGGAUUUAGCAGCCCUUUAUGGGGGGUUUAGGCUGAGAUUUUUUUGGGGUUUUCAAAGCGGUCAAGAUGGGGUGGCCGUGCUGGUGAGCUGCGUUUGGGAGAGAGGGGCGCGGCAAGAGAGUGGAGAAAUAUGUUAUAUUCUGAGGGUUUGUUAUUUUUCUAUAAAUGUCUUUAUUUAUAGUAAGGAGGGAGGAGAAGAAUUUUCAUCCUUUAAGGAAAUAUAAUCAUAAUAAGAAAGUAAAACUAAUGAAAAGAGUUUGAAUAUAAUAAGAAUAAAAUAACCAGUAAGCAAAUCUAUUUAGGAUUCGCACAAUCAACUUUAAUAUAAUACCGAAACGCACAUUUUUUCUUCUCGAUGUAUCCUUGUUUUUUAUCAUUGAAUUAAACAAGAUAUAUACAACUAUAGAAAAAGAAAAAUAAAGUGUGCAUAUCAUUUCACUAAUUUAUUUCCCGUUAAAAAUUAUUGAUGAUUGGUUUUCUUUUCAUCCUCAAGUAUGGUAAAUUGUCGUAGUUAUUUACAUUUCCUUACCUUGUUCGUUAAACUACAACAUUUUAUUUUUAUUUUAUGUUUUUCCUUAAAUGUUAAUUUCUUUUUAGAGAAAAUUACAAUCCCUACAAAUUUUCUAUAUUAUUUAAAUUAAAGAUUUGAUUAAAAUGCUUUUACUAAUAGCCACCUCAGCUUCUCUAUUAAGUUAAAAUACAUGUCAUUAUUGUACUUUGUUUAAUUUAAGUUAAUUUUUUAAUUUAUCCUUAUUUAAGGAAGAUGUUAGUAAUUAAACUAUAUUUUCUCUUCUUCUAGAUACGUUUUUUCGAUCAUUUUUUUUUUGUUCUACAAACAUUUAAUAUUAUCUUCUUUUUUUCCAAAUGGUUUUGUUUUUAAUGGUGUUGAUGCACAAAACCAGAGAGGUCUUGGAACAACACAAAUCCAACCGUGAAUCUGCAAGAAAGUAAAGAACACAAGAUGUAUCGUGGUUCACCCCAAUGUUUGGGUUACGUCCACAGUGAUGUUGAUUGUAUUUGUCUAUAACUGUAUGUAUGGAUUACAAGUGUGAGGGGGAGUCCCCCAGAGAAAGAGAGAGUUUGAGAGAGCUUUGCUCUGAAUAUGAGAGCCUCUGUUUGGGGAUGUGAGGCUUGAGGAUUGUGAGGGUGAGGAGUCCCUUUUAUAGACUAAGGGCUCCUCCCCUUUUACAUAGAUCAUGGGCUCAAUGUCUAGAAGCCCAAGUAAUGAGGCCCAAUAUAAUAUGGUACUAACAAAUGAUUUUUUUUUUUCCAAACAGUUGGUAGUUUAACAUAAUAGUUCCCGUGUAAUUUUUUUUUUCAUAAGCGAAUUUGAACCACAUUAUUGUGGCGCGUCAAUUGUGAGGCCUAGUCCACUCUCCUAUAAUAUCACUUGAUCAAAAAACAAUAUACUUUAAACUAUAUUGAAAGAAAAAAAAAGAUCUUAAAUCAUAGAUAAUUAUUGCUAAAUUGUAGCAAUAUUGUGAAGAUAAAUUGAAUCUAAUCAACUUUUUUUUUUUACAAUUAUCUCUAAAGGACGAGAGUGUAAUCAAAAUGCUAGAUUUUAGGGAAUUUGUUUCAAUAUGAUGUGCACUUUAUUUUUAGGAAAACUAAUAAAAAUGACUUGAAAACUUUGAGUUUUAACGAUAAGGACAAAAUAAAGGGUAAAGUGAAUGGUACCAGGAUUGACUUUUUAGUGUAAAAAUGUGGUUUUUCGUUAAGAUGAACAGUACCAGGAGCUUUUCUUUAAAGUUCCAUAUAUUUUUUGUUUCAGAUUUUAGUGAAGAUGGGUAGUGGUAUGUUAUGUAAUUUUGGUAAGGGAAAUGAUUAUACAUAUAGUUUUAUCAAAACUUAAUUAAAUUCCUAAAAGGCAUAUAGUUUUAUCAAAAGAUCUUCUUUUUUUUUUCAUUAUAAUUCUAUACGUUAAACUAUUAUUAUAUUUUUGGCAAAAUGUAAUUACCACGAAAGCAAAACUAAUUUAAGUUACAUUGAAAAAACGAACAGAUAAGGUUUUGUGGAAUAAAGUGUUGGAUUAGCGGGAUCACUGGGAUGUGCAUUUCGAAUAAAUAUUGGUAAAUAGAGUCUGUCAUAAACGAGAAUAAUUAUUUUAAUUUGUUUUUUUUUUUUGUCAAAUAAUUUUUUUUUGUUGAAAAUAGUUUUUUUUUUUUGGUUGAAAAUAAUUAUCAAAAACUAAAGAGGAAAAAGGAUCGAGAUUAGGGCCCGCGGCUAAACGAGAAAACCGAACUUUGUUUCUGCCCUCACACAUGGAGAGGACUCUCGCUGGAUUUUUAAUCAAAUAAUUGAAUGAAAUCAAUUCUUGAUUCUAUUUUUAAUAAAAUAAGUAAACUAACUCCUUACUUGAUUUGAUUUGCAUUGCCAAAUCUUUUCGCUGCUGAAAAAUAUUACAAAAGAUUUUUAUUGCUGUCCCAAUCUCACGUCUCUGAUUUGAGGUUUAUUGGAUGCCAAUUUCCAACAUGAAUUUAUCUGGAACCUAUGGUGUACUAUUAUCGAACACCCACAAAUAUUAUAGCAUGAAUGUGUUGGUAACAUUUGGCGGCCAUAUUAAGUUACGACGAAAAGUUUCUCGACUAAUCUUUGUAACCGAAUUGCCAAAACUUUUCACAUCCUCAAGUUUACAUCGAUCGAGCAUCCAACAUUUGGGGAUGAAGAGCAAAUCAUAUAUGAAAUGAGAACUCGAAACAGCGCUACAUGUGUACACAACUUGAGUUACGAACAAGCCAUGAUUAAAUCAUUGAUAUCAUUUAACGCUAGCAGCAAUAUUUGUGUUGUAAGAACAUGAUCAAAAAAAGAAAAGAAAAAAAAACUUAAUAUUACAACACAAUGAUCAUCCUCCAUUCUUUUUCCUUGAAAAUUGUUAUUUAUUUAGCGCAAGCUAUGCAACUCACGUAUACCUGAUUUUGCUUCAACAUGAAUGAAACAACAAUGUAAUUGUAAUAAUGAGUAAAACUAAUAACAUAAUACAAUUUAGCUCGAUAUUUUCACAUAUACAUUUUUUUACGUAAAAAUUCAUAUAAUUUGUCCUCCCGUCAUUCUGAUGCAAACAAUUUCUCUCAGCCUUGUCAUUAUGGAUCCGUGUUUGUUCUAUCGGCCUCCUUUAUUUUCUCCAGUUUUGAUAUUUCUCUCCCCAUUAUGCACUUCUUCUUCUUACUGCCCUUGUUAUUUUUUGGUUGCCGCUUCUUUAUUUCCGGUGUUGGAUUGUCUAUCGGUGUUGGCAUGUCCUCUUCCCUUUCCAUCGUUCGUGACUGUGACUGUGAUUGUGACCAAUCGGUGGUAAUGGCCAGAGCCACACAUACAAGUCCCAACUGGAACGCUAGCGUCAUGUGGAGAAAUCUUGCCAGCAGGGCGACAACGAUUGCUGACACAUGAGGAAGAAUCGCGCGCCAUUGAAGGAACCCUGAAAACAAUAUUUAAUGGCGUUAACAAUUUAAUACACAAAUUGAGCGAACACAACGUCAAGUAUGAAAAAAUCUCGAAAUUCGUAAAACUAAAAAGAAUUGAAAAAAUCAUACAGAGCGCAUGAAAAGGCACACAUGGAAAAGAUAAAUUGGAGAAAACCGCCCUAAAACUCGACUUGCGUAAAACUCAAAAGAAUAAAAAAAUCUUACACAUGGUCAGACAGUCCAAAAGCAAAGUUUGAGAGCAAAUAAAAACAAGCGGUCAAGCGGCCGAAGCAGCCAGGCUCAAUAUUUAUAAGGCACUAUUCUUGCACACUUGGUAUUUAGGGUUCAAAAUAAGUAAGAAAUAUAGGGUUCAAAAUAAGUAAGAAAUACUGGUCCAAAAUAAGGAUAGUAUUUAGGGUUCAAAAUAAGUAAGAAAUACUGGGUCCAAAAUAAGGAUAGUAUUUAGGACAGAAGAGUAAAAAAACUAGGGUUUGCAAUAAGGAAAAAAUUAAGGCACAACAGUAAAAUGUUAGGGUCCAAAUCAAGGAAGAAAUUAUGGCAGAAGAGUAAAAAACUAGGGUCUGCAAUUAAGGCACAAUAAAAUGUUAGGGUCCGAAUCAAGGAAGAAAUUAUGGCUGAAGAGUAAAACUAGGGCAUAAGAGUAUUAACGAAUCAUGUAAUUCCAUCAUCUAUUCCUUUUAAUAUUUUCUCAAUUUAUAAAAUAUUUUUUUAGUAUAUCGAUAUUUUUACAUUAGGGGAAAUAGAAAUUCGUCAAAGCCACAUAAUGUAUAAGCUAAUUUGGUAUCAAAUUUGCCAUCUACAGUAUUCGAACUUAGGAUAUCUCACUUCUAAGUAAAAAGGAAUACCACAAAACCGUGCUACUUAGUGACAAUCAACUAAUGAAAUUACUUAAAUUUUAGGUAAUGUUACAAAAUUUAAAUGCAUGUGAAAUAAAAAGAGUUGUGUACCUAAUUUUAUAUUUCUUACACCUCUCGCACCUCGCACCUGCAAAAUAACCCGUCCUCCCCUCGUACCGUAGUGGUUUUCUUUCUGAAGGGAAAAAAAUAAAAUAAAAAGCAGCAAAUUAACCCGGCUUCCUCGGUCCUCUGCUUCUUCACCCUCCAUCUCCGAUACGAAUCCCAAUCCGCACAGAAGCCGUUUUGCCGCGCAAAUGCGCGACAUGGAUUCUUCUCUUCAUUCUGAUCUCUCUCAUCCUCAUCAACUUAUCGACCUCCGCAUCGCCAUCCGAUCCUCGUCGGGCAGCUAAGAAGCGACGCCUCAGAGAUAAAGUCCGUAAGGUGUAAGCAAACUCGAAUUUCACCAGUUUCCGUUUUUCUUCGAUGUUUGUAAAUUUAGCUUAAUGGGUAUCCGUAAUAUUGAUCAGAAAUCUGGGGUUUUUAGCAAGAGUUUCUGGUUUUACUGAUUUGAGUUUGUUUUGGCUGAUUCUGUUAGUUUUUAUUCAUUAUUUCUUGUAGGUUUUGCACUUUCGUUUGUAUGAUGUUCAAACUGGUUUCUUGGUAAAAGUUUCACCGACUCCCAUGGUGAACUUGGAAAUCUGAAAGUGGCUAUGUAUCUGUAGAUAAAUGAAUUAUGAUUAAUUGCAACUUGCAAAAGUAAAUUAAAAUGUUCCCUUACCCUAUUUCAGCUUGAAUACUUACCACAAGACUAUAGUGGAUCCGCUCUGACACUUAUCGAAUCGUUGUCCAGUUUUGACAGAUUAUGGGCUGGUUUGGUAUUGCUGUGCUUUGAAAAAAAGCUGAUGUGAGAAUGAGCGACUGUAAUGUGAAAAUAAGCAAUUGUGAAAUAAAUCAGCAGAGUGUUUGGUAAACGUUUUUGUAAAAGUGCUUUUGGAAAAAAAAAACAGUCUAAUAGUGGAUCUUUUCAUUAAAGAAGCACUGUAGCUUCGAGUGCUUUGAAAAAAAGCCAUUUUUUCAAAGCUACAAAUAGCAGCUUCAUCUUUUUCCUUUGAUUUCAGCUUAUUCUCACAGCAGCUUCCAAAAUAAGUUUUUUUUUUUCAGUUUACCAAACACCUAAAACCCUCACAGCUUUUUUUCAUGGAUGCUUUUUUUUUAAGCACCUCACUCCCAAACUAGGUCUAUGUCGCAUAUACGCUUCUGUUAUUCUGUAAUCUAAAGUACAUAUGCUUUAAGUUAUUGCAAAAAAAUUCAUAUAAUUUGUCCUCCCGUCAUUCUGAUGCAAACAAUUUCUCUCAGCCUUGUCAUUAUGGGUAACAACACUGACUUUGAAAGUGCAAUUCUUUGGCUUUCCUCAAGAAUCUGAAAUUCAAUGUCAAUGCGAGGGUACAUCUCUUUGAGGUAUCUGUUGACGAGCUUGUCGAAAAGCUUGUUUUGGUUAAGUUAUUCUGAUAUUCAAAAGCAAUAUUUAUUGUCGUUCAUGUUCUCUUUUUCACUUGAUUGCUAUUUGUAGUGCAACAUAAGGUACUUGGAGGGUUUGUUUCCGCUCAUUUACUUGCGACUGAUUCUACAAACAGGCUGGGUCAAGGAGUUUACAAGAAUCAGCUGCUUACCUUGGCUGAGGACUUAGGGAAACGCUUCCUACCUGCAUUUAACACACCCACUGGAUUGCCAUAUGUAUGGAUUUACUUAAAGGUAACGUCUGAGGCAUGCUGAGCUCCAGUGUUUAAUUACAUGGUGAUUUUUGCGAUGCAUGCAUGAUACGAUUCUUUCUACUUCAUUAUCAUCAGUCUCAAGAUACAGUUACGUGUACUUGUAUCUUGCAUAAUCAUUUCAAGAGUUCACCUUUCAAGUUUCAAAACUAUACAAAAUUGUAUGGUGUGGUUUUCUUUGUAAGAAGGAUAUAUGACUCCGCAUCAAUGCUAAAUUCUGUGGACCGUGUGGAUGGAGUGAUGGAGAAAGAGACUACUGAAACGAGCACUUCAGCGUGCGGUGAGGCUUUCUUUUGCGGUAUUCAGAUGAGGACAUCAAUAAAUUUGACUUUCCUGAAUCUCAUGAUUUUUCGUAUGAAUUCAGGUUCUCUAAUUCUGGGAAUGGGAGCACUGUCCCGAUUGACUGGAGACCCGAAAUAUGAAUCGGCAGCUUUAUGUGCUCUUUGUGAAUUAUGGGGCAUGUGGAGUUCGUUGAAUUUACUCGGUACAAUGCUGGAUGUAUCAACUGGUGAAUGGAUUGUGUAUUCAUCUGGAAUUGGAGCUGGUAGGUUUCGUCGGGGCUUUGAGGUCUUUAAUGCACUGCAUUACAAGUAUAUUUAGUAGUUUACUGGGUUUCCCAAAUAGUACAAGGGCCAAUAUUUCCUUGUGCAGUCUGUUGCCGCGCCCAUUCCUUAAAUGUAUUUUAAAUUAGCUGUUGUGCGAGCAUUCUGGCCCGUCCCGUUUCUUAAACUUGGAGCAAUUGGCUCCAAUUGGAAUCGCUCUACCGUUUGCAUACUUUUCCACUAAACUCAAUUUCAAUUAAACUAGAUAAAAAGCGAAAUAUAUAGCAUCCAUAUUGGUUCAUUCUCUGUCAUUUUGAAUUUCUGAGACUCCGCCUCCUACCCCUCCUCUGUCCUCUCGACUCGAACCCUCUCAUCUCUCUCGACUCUGUCUCUCUUCAGCCCACCUUCUUCGAGUCUCGACCCCGGCCAGCUACCGCACCAUACCCUCUCUGCCUCGACCACAUCACAGACAAACUACACACCUGCUGCUAUCUCUCUCUCAUUCUCUCGAUCGAGCGACUCUCGAGCCCAAAAUCGAGGUAUUUGUUUUGAAUUAUUGUCGAAAUCUAGGGUUUUGGUUUGUAUUAUUCUUUGAUUUAAAAUUGAAUUUGGAUUUUUGUAAUUGGAUUUCUUUAUUUGAUUAGUUUUGAAUUUCUGAGCAUGUUGGAUUUCUACAAUUGUAUGUUGAGUUUCUGAGCAUGAUUUGUCCGUUUCAUAUAUUGGAUUUCUGAGCGUGCAUGUUGAACUAGUACCGAAAAAUAUAUACGGUUUUGAAUUAGUUUUGAAUUUCUGAGCAUGCCUCUUGGUGCCCUAAGGUUAGAUCACGGUUCAAAAUAUAUACGGUUUUCACGUGUUCCGAUUAUAUAUAUUCGAAUUUACAAGAUUUUAUUCAGUUGCCCUUUUGAAGUUUCGAUUAAAUUUUUGGGCGACAGGGUUAAUAUUUCUGGUGGAUCAAUGUUUAACCUGUUGUAUUGUAUUAAAUUUCUGACAGGGUUAAUAUUUCUGGUGGAUUAUCGUUAAAUCUGUAGUAUUGUUUUUCAGCACAUCCAUGGACAUGGAGGGGGAAUUAAACUCUGUAUAUGUGCUGGUGCGUUAUGUUUCUGGUCCAUAUAGAUGUGGAUUAUAUGAAAUAAAAAUCCAAAAGGGAGGACAAGUGAUGGGGCUAGGCAAUGUACUCGACCCUGUCGUCACAUUCUUUGAUAGGAGUACUUUUGUGGUCCCAAACGAAUAUUUUCGAGUAGAAGGUGCGAGUUUGGCUUUGGAUACUGCCACCGUGACAACCAAGUUGCCAGAAAGUUCUUCUAACACCAAAUUUUACCUAUUGCUGAAUGAAGGGCUCAACUGUUUCAAUCGCUUUGUCAACACCCGUUACAAGUACGACUCGUAUAGUGGUUAUACGUUUGACACAGGGACUAGGUCAUUAGAAACGUUAAAGCGUCCUCUAGCAUCUAAGCCAGUUUCAUUUUUUAUGUCUGCUUAUGGCAAGCUCUAUAACAUUGCAUCCCCAGUAUGCUUCAUAAAGAUGCCCGACACAUUGUUUGAGCGUUAUAAUCCUAAUUCUGAAUCUUGGGAAUCUCUCCCCCAUUUUGAAUAUUCUCGUGACAAGGCCCACAUGGACAUAACAGGUUACGCGGUUUGUUACGGCUGUAUUUUGGUUUCACUAGGUCGUAGUCGAGUUGAGCUAAUGGUUUAUAAUAUAGAUAGUAAUACUUGGCAUCAAGUCAAUAUUGCUAGAAGUGAUGCUUAUUAUUGUGGUUUUCGGGGCAGGGCCGUGGUUGUGGACAAUACUAUCUAUGCCUUAUCUAUACAGUGCGGGAAGGUUAUAGCUUUCUCUCUCAUGAUAGAUUCAGAGGAAGAUGGCCGUAUUAUCUAUUUUUUAGAGAAACCAGUCUUCUUUCCAGGAUUGAAGAGUAGGGUUAAGGAGGAUAUUAAAUAUGGUCACGGUUUUAAUCCGACCGAGUAUUUGGUUCAUUUGGGGAAGUUGGAGUUUUGUCUUCUCCAAGCUGCUGCUACCUGCAUAGAAGACGAGUCUCAAGAGCUGUUUGUCACCACAUUCAAAAUUGUCCAUGAUGGAACCAUGAAUAUCAAGAAAUUAGAUUCUAGUGUUUGUGAUUUGCGCAUUAAGGGUUAUGGGCUAUUUGACAUUAAUUUCAGCUUCACACCGUAAGUUUCUUCUUGACCGUUCCUUUCCUUGUUAUUUAAAUUUUAGUGUUCGAUAUUCUGUUGUAUUUUACGGAUUGCAACUUUAUUUGAUUUCUGAGUAUUUCGUGCCUCAGAGGAUGCAGGGAUCUUGAACCCAGAAAAGAGGAGAUUCUUCAGAUGACUAGGAAAAAGGUGAUGAAUAAAUGUGUUUGUAUGACAUCCUUUUAUUUGUUAAUACCUCUGUAGCAAAAGAAAUAAAUCGUGAACGUGUCUUAGGACUCUUAGGUUUUUUACCCGUCUUUGAGCUCUAGUGUUUUAUAGUAAAUUUGUGUUUCACAGGAGACUGCCAAGAACAACGCCGCCUCGGAUUCUAAAGUCCAUGAUGUGGGCAUUGAGGGUAGUGAUAGAUUCAUGCUGUAAGUUCACACCUUAAAGCUCCUAACUUAAACUAUGCAAACUUCUUGCUUCUUGGUAACAGAGACUUGGGGAAAGGGAUGGUAGAGUUGUUUAAUAUUUAAUAGGAUUGACAUAACAUAUCUAGCAGCUCUCGGUGUGAUUAAAUCUUAGUGGAAUUUCUGGAAUGAUAGGACUUGUGGUCAUUUUAGCUCCAGAAGAUGAAGAACCUUAAAAGAGAGUUUGGGAUGACUCAAGCAGAAAUGUAUCUACGUGAUAGAGUAUAAGAAUCCCCUGUUUUGAUAGAUAAGCAGCUAUAUAUUUUUCUUAAGAAAACCGGACGCUGUGAGGUAAUUAAACUCAAUAUUAGGAGAAAUUUCUGUCUUAUUUUUUUGGCUUCAAAGGAUAGAAGCCAUGGAGAUGAUGGUGUGUAGUCGGUGGUGAGUAUUAUCUGAUGACUAUUUAUCUUAUCCGACUGGAAGCUGCCAAACGAGACCUUAGUGAGAUAAGGUUUUGUUGUCAUCGUUGUUGUUGGACUUUUUGUUAAAAUUGUUUUCCGAGUAGUGGCUGAUCCCUAACUGAGAAUUUCUUUUUUCCCUGCAGUCUACCGAGAAAGUUGGUUCUAGGCAAGUGCCCUUUUAAAUUUGAUGUUUCGCGACUGGCCGUGAUUCCAUCGACUCUGCAUUUGAUGGUGGCAGUAUUUGGUUUAUGUCUUUUCUUCGUGCUAGGCCAACAAAUAAUCAGUUAAUUGGGUUGUGUAACCAGAAAAGCGUCAGAUUGUGAAUUAAUUGCCUUGAGUUAAUUACUUGGCUCGCUUUCCAAAUAUUUUGGAGAGAGCUGUUUGUGAUUUUGUACGUACAUUGUUGCGUUUACCUUGGUUAUUCAUCCUAAUUGUUUGUGUUAUUCAAUGUUGGAAUUCUCAAUUGUAUUUUGUUUUUUGGGUAAUACUAGAGAGACUAAAUUUAUGGACAAAAUUUUGUAAACUAAAUUACAGGAAGUUGACGAUUGGAUUAUUGUUUAAGCGUUGAUAAACAUGCUUUCUCCUAUUGAUGACACAUUAUUUGAUUUGCAAAUUUAGUCUUGGUAGCGUUGCCUUUUGUUUCUUCAUCAUACUCUGGAAGGGCCCCGCACUCGCAGUGUGUGUGAGGAGCUUCAACCGUCAUUGUGUUUUUAUUGUUGCAUCCAUCCUUCCAUGGUUUAUUUGUGGACAAUCAAUCAAAAACAAAAACUUUGGUCAAGAUGGAAAAGAAAACUUUCAAGGGCCCCGCGCUUGUUCUUGUGGCACCAAGCAUGAACGGCGGCAACUCAAGCAGUUUCUCAUGGGGCUUAAUAAGUCUUUCUCGAUAUUCGGGAUCAAAUUCUCUUGUUAGACCCUUUUCCCACUGUUCGCCAAGCUAGCUCCUCGGUUUCUCAGGCUGAAAAACAGCGGUCGUUGGGCUCCCUUGCAUCAAUUUCAGGGUGAUAGGAUCAGUGAAUUACUUAUUCACUAAUACUAAGCAAUUAAAAUUACUGUUAUGUUAGUUUGUUAGUUUGUGGAAUGUCCAGCUGGCACCUUGGUGGGGCUAAGUCUUUAAAUAGAGCAAUAGCUCCCUCUCUCUUUUGUAACGGUUAUGAACUUUUAUUAAUUAAAAAUACAUUUCUCUUCUUUAUUUUUUAAAUUAUUAACUUUUUCACUAUUUGUAUAAUGACACGUGGUGUACUACUUCGUGUGCCGAUCACACUGAAAAAUCUCUCCAAGCAAACUGACCUUUUGUCCUCGUUUGGGACACAUGUCCUUCUGUCGGGUGCGGAAAAAAUAAUUUGGCACACAGAUUCGAUUCUCGAACAUAUCCCGGUCUCUCUGUCGUAACUCGCGCGCCUAAUUUACAUGCAAGAUCAAAGUGAUUUUGUUCCUUUUUAGCCAAAGCAUUAGUGAGAUUUUUCCUUCUUAAAAAAAAAAAAAAAAAUAGACAACCAAACAAACAAAAGAAGAUGAAGGAGAUCCGUCGAUUGAGGUCUCCGUCGAUCCUGGUUUGCUUUUUUUGGUAAUUUGAGAUCCUUCAAGAGAGCCCUCUAAGGAGAUCCGUCGAGUUUUUACUUAAUUUGGUUCCGGUUUCGGUUUUUAUUGUUCAUUCUCAAACUUGGAUUUUUCUGCAUUUUGGUUCUAGAUUUUUGAUUUUCUGCCUUCUGAAAUUCUGCAAUAGGUUUUUCAAUUGGAUCAAGAAAUGGACUCGUGGACCCGUUGGAACCAACCCGUUUCAAAUGGUCCGGUUCCAUUUUUUAAAAAGAAAACUAACGAAAAGUACAACAAAAACUUUAAUUUUAACGAAGAAUGACAAAUAAAGGUGUAAUGAAUAGUUCUAAGGAGAGGUAAAAAUAUGAUUUUUCGUUAAAAGUGAACAGUACUAAGAGUUUCGUUAGAACACCAUUUUUUAAAAAUGUGACUACUAGCCCAGCUCAGCCUCGUCCCGUUUUAUUUCCAAAUAGGGGUAAUAGUCCAGUUUCACUAAAUUUGGGUCCGGCCUGGCCUGUGCCCCCUAGUAUGAACACUAUUCAGAUUUUUUUUUCGCAAAUCAAACUCAAAUAAAAGGGACAGUAGAAGGGACCAAAUUAUGAGAACUAACUAGAGGUGCAGAUGUUAUAGAACAAGCAAUGACAUAGUGGGUGCAAACAAGUGGUUAGUGCCCUAAACUGCUAUGGUAUAUAUUUCUUCCAACUCAACCAUCUGAAGUCGUUUCGUACUUUAAAAGGUGGUUAGCCUAUUUGUAUUGGUACAGAAACCGGAUGAAAAAAUUUUGUCUUCUCGAUUUGGAUUUGAGAUUUCUUCAAAUAUCGGAAAGUGACGCCAUAUUAAGAGAUUUCUUCAAAUAUCGGAUGAAAUUUUUUUUUUCUGUUACACAAUCUAAUAGAUGGAUAUUUGUUUGUAUAAGAAGUAUACAACAAAAACGAAUACCAUCACUUGGACACAUACAGGCAAUGGGUGGAAUGCUGCAGCCAGUCGCCUAAGCUCAUACUUAGGGGGCCACUUCUGAAGAACCCUCUUGCUUGAUUUUCUGCAGCAAAACAAGAAAUGCUCAGGAAACCUUAUGGGCUACAAAAACCAAAGAACCAAUUUGAAUGUAGUGAUGGCAAAAUUGGUUUUACAAUCUCACGAGGGAAAUUGUUAUUAACAGUCCAAAAAGGUCAUCUGACACACCUCCUUCCUUUAUUUUGUAAUUAGUGACAAGAACAGAUGUUAAAUAUUCAGCGUACUCCUCAGCACCAACCAUCGUAAUCUGUAAACUUGAGGCUUCUCACUGUGUGUGUGUGUGUGUUGGGUUUAUCUCCAGAAGAUGAUGAACCGUUAAAAAAGAGCGUCCACAAUGACUCAAAACCAAAAUGUAUUUAUUUGAUCAGUAUAACUGCAGUUUCCUAUCGAUCAAUAUGUUAUAACAGCAGUUUAACAAAGCCAACAGAAGAAUCUGGCACUGUCAUAUUGGAAUGCCUAUCAUCAUAAGGAGCAAGGCUUCCAUGAAAGUUUACACAUGUGGAGAGGUGCAAGAUAGAUUAAGGGUUAUUGUGCCAAUUCACACAUUAAAAAAAGAAAAAGAACAGUUCAGCUAAAGUCUACCUCUGUUUAUCUAGAAGCAAGAAAUGUGCAUAAGUUAGAUUAGAAAAAGGAAUGAACUUACAUCAUGGAGAUGAAACCAUCUAAGGCAUUGUUCUUCUUGGCUCUCCCCUGUGAAAUAACCCAAUUUUAUUAUUAAAAACAAGAGCUCACAGAUGAGUAAAAAGCUUGUCGACCAAAGAAAAAGACAAGUAAAAAACUUGGGGCUUGUUUGGUUUCCUUCUCGGAUCCAAUUUUCUGUUUUCACAAAUGAUGAAUAUAGCUAAAUUCCUUCAUACUCAUUAGUCUCAAAAAAAAAAAAUGGCUUCUAUUGAUAAAAGGUAUUUAACAAAGAAAAAGAUAUCGUAUAGAUGUAUCAUGUAUAUGUAGUCACCUUUUUAUGAGCCAACCGAAAACUCUCCUCUUCUUCAGGCUCAAAAUCCUCACAUUUUCUGAGACAUGAAAUACUCUGACAUCAAAUGAAGUUGCAAUAAACCAUAUACCAAAAUUUUGGAAUAUUGAACUUAAUAUUACAAAGAAGAAACAAAAAAAUGGAGGAGAAAGUAUGAACUUACGGCAUAAAGCUGAAACAAAUACGAAGUGUACCAGAAUGUCCUAUGUGGAAAUCACAGACGCUAGAAUCCAAAGUCUUGAUAUGCAUUGUUUCAUCAUCACACACAAUUUCGAAUGUGGUGAUAAACAUCUCUUGAGGCUCAUCCAAAUCAGUGGAGAUAGAUUGAAGAAGGCAGAACUCCAACUUCCCCAAAUGGACCAAAUACUCUGUUGGCCUAGAGAUACGACCAGAUUCCGUACUGUCCGCAACCCUACUCUCCAGUCCUGGCAAAAAGAAUGGUUCCUCUAGCGAAUAGGUAAUACGGCCAUCAUUCCCUAUUUUCAUCUUAAGCGAGAACGCUAUAACCUUUCCCCAUUGUAUAGAUAAGGCAUAUAUAGAAUUGCCUACAACCACGGCCCUCCCUCGAAAAGCAGAAUAAUAAGCUUCCUUUCUAGAUAUAUCAACUUGAUGCCAGGUAUUACUGUCUAUAUGAAAAACCAUGAACUCAAAUCGAAAAUUGUAUGUUGAAACCAAAAUACAUCCAUGACAAACAGCAUAACCUGAUAUCUCCAUCUUGGACCGUUCCCGAGAAUAUGCAAAAUGAGUAAGAGAUUCCCAAGAAUCAGUUUUGGAAUCAUACCGCUCAAACAAUACCUUCGGCAUCACUCGGAAGCACUGUGGAGAUGCAAGAUUAUAAAGCUUUCCGUAUGCAGACAUAAGAUAUGAAACUGGCUUAGGUGCUAAAGGAGGCUCGAAUGUUUCCAAUGACCUAGUCUCUGUGUCAUAAAUUUGUCCCCUAUAUGAGCCGAGCUUGUCAUCAGCGGGGAGGUUAUGACGAGGUAAGAGUCCUUUAUUUAACACUAGGUGUAAUUUAGAGGAGUUGUGCAAUCUCGCACCCUCAAACCAACAAAACUUGGGGAGUACAAACUUAAACUCAGGUUCAAGUAUCUUAGGUCGCAUCACUUCUCCUCCCUGUUGGAUUUUUAUUUCAUAUAAUCCAGCUUCACAUGGACCACAUGCAAAUUCCACGAGUAUAAAUACCGAUCUGGCUUCCCCCUCCUCCAUAGAUGUGCUGAAAAACAACAAUAAUGGUGCAAGUCAAAUAUUUUUUCCAAAACAACAAUAAUGGGUCGAGACUCGAAGAAGGUGGGCUGAAGAGAGACAGAGUCGAGAGAGAUGAGAGGGUUCGAGUCCAGAGGACAGAGGAGCGGAAGGAGGCGGACUGGCGGAGUCUCCGAAAUUCAGAAUGACAGAAUGACACAGGAUUGCGCUCCCUAAAUUCGAAAUCCGACGGUCCACGUUAUCCAAGUUUUCGGGAUCGGUUUGGUUUUGCGUACCCAACUUUUGGGAUAUUUGGUUCGGUCGUUUUUCGUUUAAAUUCGUGAUGAACCAAUAUGUAUGCCAUAUAUUUUGCCCUUUUAUAUUUCGCUUUUUGUAUUUGUGAUACUCUUGCCAUAGUGUGUUUCUAGGAAAAGCGGAACUGAGUUUAGAGCAAUUCCAGUGUGGGAGUCCUCUCCCCAGGCUAUCCACUAUGCUAUUCAUCCAAUGAACAGUAAUUACUCCUUAAUGAACAGUAAUCGCCUUUUGCAUCUCCACCCCUACACUGAAUAGUCCUGGCAAUUGACAAUAAAAUAUUAUUAUUUAUAAUUAAUAUUAUAUUAUUUACUUUGUAUAAAUUAAUAUUAUAUUAUUAAUUUAUCUUUUCCUUUUGAUCUUUCCGAAACUUCUACCAUUUUUCUUUCUUCUUCCUUCCCACUUCUUCCUUCCCGAAAUUUUCUUCCUUGCACUGCAAAUUUAUGUUUUACAACUCCAAAUUUGAUUUCGUUUUUUCUUACAAAUUUCUGGAGAAGAGCACUGCAAGGUAAUUGACUUUUGGGUUUACCGCAGAUUUUGAUAUUUUGUGUGCUUUCUGUUUCGUUUUUCCAGAAUCCGGCGAGCUCCGUGACCAAUCCCGACCAAGCUCGACCACGGUUGUUACUUACAGUGGUAAAAUCUUGUUCCUUUUCAUUUUAGCAUCAUUUUUGUGCUUAAAUUACAAUUUUUAAUGGAGUUUUAAGUCGAGAUCGGAAUCGGGAUGAAUCCCUACCAAAUAUUCCGGUGUUCUCCCUUGAGGGUUCCGGUGACCCAUGUUUUAAAUCGUGGCUGACGUCGCCCAGACGUCAGCCUUGCAUCAUGUUGCCUUCGGGCUCUCGAGCUAGCAACUCGUGCCAGGCCUGUCCCUCGGGCUGCCACACGCUGGACCAAAUCCAUCAGGCUCUCUGGCCCUGUUCAGCCCCUGUCCCCCGAGCAAGAGCUCCCGCUGGAGCUGCUCUUAGUGGAAAAGUAUGCAAACGGUAGAGUGAUUCUAAUUGGAGUCAAGUUUAAGAAAUGAGCCUUUUAAGGACAGCUCAUUCAUUGAGAUUUAAGGAAAGUUUGGAGGCAAGAAAAAUGUUAAUUGAAAUCAAAUUGUAAUCUGCUUAAGAUUAUAAUACCCGUUACAGAUUGUUUUUCCUUCUUCGUUAGUUGGAAUCAAAUUGUGCUAUAUUGUAUUUAAACAAUGAAAAACAACUCUUACGUCUCAGCAAGGAAAGGGAAAAACAACUCUUACGUCUCAGCAAGGAAGAAACUAUGCUGAUGGUCUUCCAACUGCGUAGUUGUGACAUCUCUGAUGUUAGCAAAACCUCGUUCCACUUUGGUGUAUAGGUUCAGAGAAUUUAGAAUUGACUCCCCCACUUCAAUAUACCAUGGACCUGAUAAAAGAAACAAAACGACACAAAAAAUCAGAAAAGUUGUCACUUAGGGCCCAGAAAUGUCUGAAUUCUUACAAAAUAUCACCUGAACUUUUAGGUCCAUGUGGAAAUGAAGAUAACUAAUAAGAAAAUUAUCAAACAUUUAGUUGCUUGAUACAAGUCGAAAGUUGAUUCCGCCAAUUCAGGGCGCAGAGGAUAAUACUUUUCUGUGGGAUGCAACGUUGAUGGUCCAACAAAUACCUACAUUCUUUUACAGUUCAUAUUAGACAGUUUUCUUUUCUUUUUUUUUUUUCCUUAUAAGAAAUACUGCGGUAACCUCUCUGGUAUUACUCCACACUUUUUCAAUACAUUGCAGCUGCAAUAUCGCCAACAUGAACCUAAAUCAUAGUUCGUAUCUCAGGAUUAGAAGACUCUUUCUGAGGUUGAAGUCAUUAUAGACCAGUAUGACAAGUUUUAGAUUCCCUCCCUCUAAGCCACGCCAAAAUGCCUGAAGGCUUGUAAGCUGCCAAUACGUUGCUUUUCCUGUCCUCAUAUCAGCUUCAUGGUAAUAUGCGUUACCACAAAAACUUUGCAGCCUACUCAUCUCAAUUUAAUCUUACAGCUAGAAUCCAAACUUUUAACACUUGCAAAGUACCAAUAAUGAAUUGAAUAAGGCAUUCAAAAAGGCUAGGAAGAAAUGUUGUACCAUGGACCAUGUCUGAAAUAUUUCUGCACAGCAGAAUGAAACAUCCUCCAGAACUCAUUUCCAACAAGGAUGUGGCCCUUAAAUAGAUAGUCAUCCCCUAAACGAAGAAACACAUAAUCCAACAUCAGAAACAUCAAACUCUACGCACUAAAAAUACAUUUAAGGAAUGGGCACGGCAACAGAUUGCACAAGGAAAUAUUGGCCCUUGUACUAUUUGGGAAACCCAGUAAACUACUAAAUAUACUUGUAAUGCGGUGCAUUAAAGACCUCAAAGCCCCGACGAAACCUACCAGCUCCAAUUCCGGAUGAAUACACAAUCCAUUCACCAGUUGAUACAUCCAGCAUUGUACCGAGUAAAUUCAACGAACUCCACGUGCCCCAUAAUUCACAAAGAGCACAUAAAGCUGCCGAUUCAUAUUUGGGGUCUCCAGUCAAUCGGGACAAUGCUCCUAUUCCCAGAAUUAGAGAACAUGAAUUCAUACGAAAAAUCAUGAGAUUCAGGAAAGUCAAAUUUAUUGAUGUCCUCAUCUGAAUAACGCAAAAGAAAGCCCCUCACCGCACCCUGAAGUGCUAAUUUCAGUAGUCUCUUUCUCCAUCACUCCAUCCACACUGUCCACAGAAUUUAGCAUUGAUGCGGAGUCAUAUAUCCUUCUUACAAAGAAAACCAUCAAACAAUUUUGUAUAGUUUUGAAACUUGAAAGGUGAACUCUUGAAAUGAUUAUGCAAGAUACAAGUACACAUAACUGUAUCUUGAGACUGAUGAUGCUGAAGUAGAAAGAAUCGUAUCAUGCAUGCAUCGCAAAAGUCACCAUGUAAUUAAACAUUGGAGCUCAGCAUGCCUCAGACGUUACCUGUAUGUUAAUCCAUGCAUAUGGCAAUCCAGUGGGUGUGUUAAACGCAGGUAGGAAGCGUUUCCCUAAGUCCUCAGCCAAGGUAAGCAGCUGAUUAAACUCCUUGACCCAGCCUGUUUGUCGAAUCAGUCGGAAGUAAAUGAGCUGAAACAAGCCCUCCAAGUACUCUUAUGUUGCACCACAUAGAGCAAUCAAGUGAAAAAGAGAACCAGAACGACAAUAAAUAUUGCUUUUGAAUAUCAGAGUAACUUAACCAAAACAAGCUUUUCGACAAGCUCGUCAAUAGAUACCUCAAAGAGAUUUACCCUCGCAUUGACAUUGAAUUUCAAAUUCUUGAGGAAGGUCAAACAAUUGCACUUUCAAAUUCAGUGUUGUUACCCAUAAUGACAAGGCUGAGAGAAUUUUUUUGCAUCAGAAUGACGGGCGGACAAAUUAUAUGAUACAGCAUGAAGAAAACACCAAAGUUGAGGAUAACGUUGCAAUAACUUAAAGCAUAUAUACUUAAGAUUACAGAAUAACAGAAGCGUAUAUGUGCCAUAAUCUGUCAAACCUGGACAACGAUUCUAUAAGUGUCAGAGCGGAUCCACUAUAGUCUUGAUAAGUAUUCAAGCUGAAAUAGGGUAAGGAAACAUUUUAAUUUACUUUUGCAAGUUGCAAUUAAUCAUAAUUCAUUUAUCUACAGAUAUAUAGCUACCUUCAGAUUUCCAAGUUCACCAAGAGAGUCGGUGAAACUUUUACCAAGAAACGAGUCUGAGCAUCAUACAAACGAAAGAGCAAAAGCUACAAGAAAUAAUGAAUAAAAACUAACAGAAUCAGCCAAAACAAACUCAAAUCAGUAAAACCAGAAAUUCUGGAUCAAAACCCCAGAUUUCUGAUCAAUAUUACAGAUACCCAAGCAGCUCAUGUUCUCACCCAAUAACAACUUGACAAGUGUUCAAGUUGUUUGUUCAGGCUCUAUUUUUUUGGACGCUUGUCAAUUAUUAUUGAGUGCGUUUUUGUUUAAGCAGCCAAGCUUUGUUGUUUUCAGUGAUAGGAGUUUUUAUUUUCUUUUGAUAAUAAUAAGGAUGCACUAAUAAAAAGUGAUCAAAAUUGAGUUUGGACCGCAAAUUCUUGAGUUCCAUUUUGGAUUAAUACUAACUUGUAUUUAGAUAUUUAAGGAAUGAAAUCAAGUUUUAUGCUGCAAAUUCUUGAGUUGCAUUUUAACUUUUAUUUAGAUUAAUACAAACUUAUUUCCGACCCCAGUUUUUUACUUUUCUACCCUAAUUUCUUCCUUGUUUCAGACCCUAACAUUUUACUUGUACCCUAAUUUUUUCCUUAUUUCGGACCCUAAUUUCUGUUACUUGGUCAAAGCCUAGGGCUACAUAGUAUCUUGGUGUGCAAGAAGACGCAACCCUAGGGUAGAGACUAUCUACUAUCUCUUGCCUUAUAAAUAUUAGGCUUGGGCGCUUGGCCUGCUUGUACUUUAGUUUUAUCUGCUCUAAAAUUUUUCUUUUCGACUGUCUCUAACCAUGAAGGCAGAAGUUGGUCCGUCAGAGUCAGAUGGUGGCUCAUCGGAAUUAUAUUGUAAGAUUCUUUAAUUCUUUUAAGUUUUACGGCUGCUCCAAUUUGUCUUUUCUAUGUGUUCCUUUUCAUACUCGUGCAUGGCGUUGUGCCUGCUGCCAUCAAUUUACGUAUUAAAUCAUUAACGCCAUUAAAUAUUGUUUUCUGGCAAAAGUAAUUUAAUUAUCUGUGAUUAAUCCUACUCUAACUCCACAUAAUCUUCAUAUUUUUUGUAGUUAAAUUUGUAGGCUACACAAAAACAACAAAUUAACGAUAGAGGCAACUUUUCAGGAUUCCCUCAAUGGCGCAAUUCUUCCUCAUAUAUCAACAUUUCGCUAGCGUUCUAGUUGAGAUUUGUAUGCGUGGCUCUGGCCAUUGUCACCGAUUGGUUGCAGGCACGGUCACGGACGAUGGAAAGGAAAGAGAACAUGCCAACACUAAUAGACAAUUCGACACUGGAAAUAAAAGAGUUGCAGCCAGAAAAUAACAAGGGCACUAAGAAGAAGAAAUGAUAAUGGGGAGAGAAAUAUCUACAACAACAACAACAACAACAAAGCCUUUUCCCACUAAGUGGGGUCGGCUAUAUGAAUCCUAGAACGCCAUUGCGCUCGGUUUUGUGUCAUGCCCUCCGUUAGAUCCAAGUACUCUAAGUCUUUUCUUAGAGUCUCUUCCAAAGUUUUCCUAAGUCUUCCUCUACCCCUUCGGCCCUGAACCUCUGUCCCGUAGUCACAUCUUCGAACCGGAGCGUCAGUCGGCCUUCUUUGCACAUGUCCAAAUCACCAGAGCCGAUUUUCUCUCAUCUUUCCUACAAUUUCGGCUACUCCUACUUUACCUCGGAUAUCCUCAUUCCCAAUCUUAUCCUUUCUCGUGUGCCCACACAUCCCACGAAGCAUCCUCAUCUCCGCUACACCCAUUUUGUGUACGUGUUGAUGCUUCACCACCCAACAUUCUCUGCCAUACAACAUCGCUGGCCUUAUUGCCGUCCUAUAAAAUUUUCCCUUGAGCUUCAGUGGCCUACGACGGUCACACAACACGCCGGAUGCACUCUUUCCAUCCAGCUCGUAUUCUAUGGUUGAGAUCUCCAUCUAAUUCUCCGUUCUCUUGCAAGAUAGAUCCUAGGUAACGAAAACGGUCGCUUUUUGUGAUCUUAGCUAGAUUGCUCCGGUCAUUAGUGUGGAUAAGUAUAUAAAUGGAUAGAGAUAGGAAAGCAAACACAAGAUGUACGUGGUUCACCCAGAUUGGCUACGCCCACGGAAUAGAAGAGUUCUCAUUAAUUGUGAAGGGUUUACACAAGUACAUAGGUUCAAGCUCUCCUUUAGUGAGUACGAGUGAAUGAUUUAGUACAAAUGACAUUAGGAAAUAUUGUGGGAUAAUGAUCUCGUAAUCACGAAACUUCUAAGUAUCGGAGUGUGGUGUCGUCUUGACUUGCCUUAUCUGUCUCAUAGGUAGAUGUGGCAUCUUCUCUGGAAGUACUCUUCCUCCAUCCAGGGGUGGUAUCUUUAACUGGUGGAGAUGCACAAGGUAAUGUAUCAAUUUCACUUGAAGCUUACUUGUAGUUUCAGGCUUGGUCAAGCGCGAUACAAACCAUGUAGUAGGAGUCCCCCAAGUCGCCGAGCUAGGGGGUUUGCUGAAAGAGGUGACAGACAAGGUAAGCAAUCAGAGCUCCGACUGAUUGUUCACCUUCUCCCCAUCUUGCAGCAGCAUGAAGGAUAAAGAGAAGAAAAAUGAGAAGAGAUGAUAUGAGAUACUUUUGCUUUUGAAGAAGUAACUUUCCACAGGCUUAUUCUUGAACUGAGCUGGAGGGUUUUCUGGUUUCCUCCAGAGUAUAAGGCCGACUGAAGAAUUUGAGGGUCAAAACAAGUCCAUCAAAUCUAGAGUACGUUCCACCCUGCUGAUAUGGGAUACUUUUGCUUUUUGACAAAGUAAAUGGAUGUAUCGGCACGUGUGCUGUUACGCUUGUCUCCACAUGCUUCCUUGUAUCCUUCGCACUUGCCCUAUCUGUUCCUCAAGCAGAUGCGGAAUCUUCCCUGGAAACAUAAGAUGAUGAAGAUGAGUACUCGAGAGCAAUGCCAGGGAAGUAAUCAGGUAAGGGGUUCCAGGCAGUCAAUUCCUGGCUGGAAGCUUGAUUCCAAGUACUGACUGAUUGCUCUCUUUCUCCUUGUCUUGCAGGUAAAAAUAAGGCCAAAAGAAAAAACAGGGAAAAAGCAUGAUAUGAGAUACUCUUGCUUUUAACCCUGAUGAUAUGAGAUAUUCUUGCUCUAGUAUAGCUUGUUUGCAGAGGUAUUAUCGGGGGGAAAGAAAGCUGAAUAUUUCGAAAGGCUUUGUUGGGAGUGCCCUCUCAGAUAUGAUGAAGGGUUGAGCAUUUUUGCAGGUCUGCCUGUCCGUUGGGGAUGGAGGUCGACAUAUAUAGGAGUCUCCCUAACAACAAGUAGUAAUGCUAUUCCUUUACCCUGCUUGGUCAUAGCACGGUAGUGGGAGCUGCCAGUUUCACAUGUUUUAACUCUGUCAGAGCACUUUGAAAAAGUGGUCUGUGGUAUCUGGCUCUCGAGAUUCGGAGAACGAUGCCUCUUCGAUUUUUGAGAAAGCAAUCAUGCUGGGGGUCUGACUCUCGAGAUUCGGAGAGCAGUGUCUCUUCGAUUUUUGAGGAAGUAAUCAUGUUGGGAGUCUGGCUCUCGAGAUUCGGAAGGCGGUGCCUCUUCGAUUUUGGAGCAAGCAAUCUUGUUGGGAGUGUUGUCUCGAAUGUGAGUAAAGGUUGGACAUGUUUGCUAGUCUACCUUGCCACGAAGCACAAAGGUUGACACACAGGGACUUUCCAAUUAUCCAGCAAUGGUACUGUUCCUUUACCCUCUCUUCGAUUUUGAGAAAGUAGUCAUGUUGGGAGUCUGGCUCUCGAGAUUCGGAAGACGGUGCCUCUUCGAUUUUGGAGCAAGCAAUCUUGUUGGGACUGUUUUCUCGAAUGUGAGUAAAGGUUGGGCAUGUUUGCUAGUCUACCUUGCCACGAAGCACAGAGGUUGACACACAGGGACUUUCCAAUUAUCCAGCAGUGGUACUGUUCCUUUACCCUUGUGGGUAAUAAUAUGGUAGCUAGACCUUCAAAAUUUAUGUGUCUAAACUUUGUUAGUGCUGUUUCUUUGCUAUUCUUUUACCUUUCUUGGUCAGAGCGAUGUAGUGGGAGCUGCAAGCUUCACGUGCUCAACUUUGGCAGAGAACUUUGGCAAAGUGAUCUGUGGUACCCAUGAGUUAUUGUUGCGUGUAGGAAGUGGGUGAUUGAACAGUAAGAUUCAUGUGCUUUCUACUUCACCAGAAGUCUUCGACAAAAAUGCCCAUAAUUUCUGCAAAGCUGAGUGUGCGUGUGACAGGUGCUGACAAGGCUAGAAAAGUAGGUGCCUCUUCGAUUUCUGAGAUCGGCCCUCGUGGUCUCUGAGCAGCCCAGCUUUUGAGAAAGCGAGCGCCUCUUCGAUUGAUUCGGAGAACGGUGCCUCACCGAUUUUUGAGAAAGCAAUCAUGCUGGGGGUCUGGCUCUCGAGAUUCGGGGAGCAGUGUCUCUUCGAUUUUUGAGAAAGUAAUCAUGUUGGGAGAGUGGCUCUUGAGAUUCGGAGGGUGGUGCCUCUUCGAUUUUGGAGCAAGCAAUCUUGUUGGGAGUGUUUUCUCGAAUGUGAGUAAAGGUUGGGCAUGUUUGCUAGUCUACCUUGCCACGAAGCACAGAGGUUGACACACAGGGACUUUCCAAUUAUCCAGCAAUGGUACUGUUCCUUUACCCGCUCUUCGAUUUUUAAAAAAAGUAGUCAUGUUAGGAGUCUGGCUCUUUAGAUUCGGAGGACGGUGCCUCUUCGAUUUUGGAGCAAGCAAUCUUAUUGGGAGUGUUUUCUCGAAUGUGAGUAAAGGUUGGGCAUGUUUGCUAGUCUACCUUGCCACGAAGCACAGAGGUUGACAUACAUGGACUUUCCAAUUAUCCAGCAGUGGUACUGUUCCUUUACCCUUGUGGGUAAAUAAUAUGGUAGCUAGACCUUCAAAAUUUAUGGGUCUAAACUUUGUUAGUGCUGUUUCUUUGCUAUUCUUUUACCCUUCUUGGUCAGAGCGAUGUAGUGGGAGCUGCAAGCUUCACGUGCUCAACUUUGGCAGAGAACUUUGGCAAAGUUAUCUGUGGUACCCAUGAGCUAUUGUUGCGUGUGGGAAGUGGGUGAUUGAACAGUAAGAUUCAUGUGUUUUCUACUUCCCCAGAAGUCUUUGACAGAAUGCCCAUAAUUUCCGCAAAGCUGAGUGUGCGUGUGACAGGUGCUGACAAGGCUGGAAAAGUAGGUGCCUCUUCGAUUUCUGAGAUCGGCCCUCGUGGUCUCUAGGGAGCCCAGCUUUUGAGAAAGCGAGCGCCUCUUCGAUUUCUGAGAUCGGCCUUCGUGGUCUUUGAGCAGCCCAACUUUUGAGAAAGCAAACGGCUCUUCGAUUUCUGAGAUCAACCCUCGUGAUCUCUAAGCAGCCCAACUUUUGAGAAAGCAAACGCCUCUUCGAUUUCUGAGCAGGCGCCUCUUUGAUUUCUGAAGCUCCGUCGAGUGCAGAUUUUUAUAGAGGCUGGCAUUAAGUUCCAAAGCACACUUGAAUCUCCACCAGUAGAAGCUUCAUUCUUGCACUUCUAAUAUCUUGAUUUGUCCGACCUCUUCUCUCUUCAACACCUUUGAAAAAUGUCUGGCCCCUCCGACCGUCGUUUUGACUUGAACCUUGUUGAAGAGGCAGCCCCGCCUUCUCCAGACAACAUAUGGCGCCCAUCCUUCGUCUCCCAAACUGGUCCUCUUACCGUUGGGGAUUCCGUGAUGAAGAAUGAUAUGACCGCUGCGGUGGUGGCCAGGAACCUUCUCACUCCCAAAGAUAACAGACUACUUUCCAAACGGUCUGAUGAGUUAGCUGUUAAGGAUUCGCUGGCUCUCAGUGUUCAGUGUGCAGGUUCUGUGUCUAAUAUGGCCCAACGCCUAUUUGCUCGAACCCGCCAAGUUGAAUCAUUGGCGGCUGAAGUGAUGAGUCUCAAACAGGAGAUUAGAGGGCUCAAGCAUGAGAAUAAACAGUUGCACCGGCUCGCACAUGACUAUGCUACAAACAUGAAGAGGAAGCUUGACCAGAUGAAGGAAACUGAUGGUCAGGUUUUACUUGAUCAUCAGAGAUUUGUGGGUUUGUUCCAAAGGCAUUUAUUGCCUUCGUCUUCUGGAACUGUACCGCGUAAUGAAGCUCCAAAUGAUCAACCUCUGAUGCCUCCUCCUCCUAGGGUUCUGUCCAGUACUGAGGCUCCAAAUGAUCCCCCUCCGGUGCCUUCUCUUUCUGGGGCUCUACCGACUGCUGAGACUUCUCCUAAGCAACCUUUGUGAAGGUUCCCUCUUGUGUGUUUAUUUGACUCAUGUAUAUGUACAUAUUUGUAGCUUAUCGGGAUAUCAAUAAAUAAGCUUUCCUUCAUUUCAACGUAUUGUGUUAAAUACACCAAAGCCUUCUUCGCUAAGUUCUUUGAAUUUUCUUUUGUUGAAGCUUGUAUGUUGAAGCUUUCUGAGUGGAGCAUGUAGGUUGGGGUAGUGUUCCCUUAAUUUCCCGAGUGAGGAAAACUUCUUGGUUGGAGACUUGGAAAAUCCAAGUCACUGAGUGGGAUCGGCUAUAUGAAUCUUAGAACGCCAUUGUGCUCGAUCCUGUGUCAUGUCCUUCGUUAGAUCCAAGUACUCUAAGUCUUUUCUUAGAGUCUCUUCCAAAGUUUUCCUAGGUCUUCCUCUACCCCUUCGGCCCUGAACCUCUGUCUCAUAGUCGCAUCUUCUAAUCGGAGCGUCAGUAGGCCUUCUUUGCACAUGUCCAAACCACCGUAACCGAUUUUCUCUCAUCUUUCCUUCAAUUUCGGCUACUCCUACUUUACCCCGGAUAUCCUCAUUCCUAAUCUUAUCCUUUCUCGUGUGCCCACACAUCCAACGAAGCAUCCUCAUCUCCGCUACACCCAUUUUGUGUACGUGUUGAUGUUUCACCGCCCAACAUUCUGUGCCAUACAGCAUCGCCGGCCUUAUUGCCGUCCUAUAAAAUUUUUCCCUUGAGCUUCAGUGGCAUACGGCGGUCACACAACACGCCGGAUGCACUCUUCCACUUCAUCCAUCCAGCUUGUAUUCUAUGGUUGAGAUCUCCAUCUAAUUCUCCGUUCUUUUGCAAGAUAGAUCCUAGGUAACGAAAACGGUCGCUCUUUGGUAUUUCUUGAUCUCCGAUCCUCACCCCUAACUCGUUUUGGCCUCCAUUUGCACUGAACUUGCACUCCAUAUAUUCUGUCUUUGAUCGGCUUAGGCGAAGACCUUUAGAUUCCAACACUUCUCUCCAAAGGUUAAGCUUUGCAUUUACCCCUUCCUGAGUUUCAUCUAUCAACACUAUAUCGUCUGCGAAAAGCAUACACCAAGGAAUAUCAUCUUGAAUAUGUCCUGUUAACUCAUCCAUUACCAACGCAAAAAGGUAAGGACUUAAGGAUGAGCCUUGAUGUAAUCCUACAGUUAUGGGAAAGCUUUCGGUUUGUCCUUCAUGAGUUCUUACGGCAGUCUUUGCUCCUUCAUACAUAUCCUUUAUAGCUUGGAUAUAUGCUACUCGUACUCCUUUCUUCUCUAAAAUCCUCCAAAGAAUGUCUCUUGGGACCCUAUCAUACGCUUUUUCCAAAUCUAUAAAGACCAUGUGUAAAUCCUUUUUCCCAUCUCUAUAUCUUUCCAUCAAUCUUCGUAAGAGAUAGAUUGCCUCCAUGGUUGAGCGCCCUGGCAUGAACCCGAAUUGGUUGUCCGAAACCCGUGUCUCUUGCCUCAAUCUAUGCUCAAUGACUCUCUCCCAGAGCUUCAUUGUAUGACUCAUUAGCUUAAUACCCCUAUAGUUCAUGCAAUUUUGUACGUCGCCCUUAUUCUUGUAGAUAGGCACCAAAGUGCUCGUUCGCCACUCAUUUGGCAUCUUCUUCGUUUUCAAAAUCCUAUUGAAAAGGUCAGUGAGCCAUGUUAUACCUGUCUCUCCCAAAACUUUCCACACUUCGAUUGGUAUAUCGUCUGGGCCUAUUGCUUUUCUAUGCUUCAUCUUCUUCAAAGCUACAACCACUUCUUCCUUCCGGAUUCGACGAUAAAAGGAGUAGUUUCUACUCUUCUGAGUUACUCAACUCCCCUAAAGAAGCACUCCUUUCAUGUCCUUCAUUGAAAAGAUUAUGAAAAUAACCUCUCCAUCUGUCUUUAACCGCGUUCUCUGUAGCAAGAACCUUUCCAUCCUCAUCCUUGAUGCACCUUACUUGGUUUAGGUCCCUUGUCUUCUUUUCCCUUGCUCUAGCUAGUUUAUAGAUAUCCAACUCUCCUUCUUUGGUAUCUAGUCGUUUAUACAUAUCGUCGUAAGCCGCUAACUUAGCUUCUCUGACAGCUUUCUUCGCCUCUUGCUUCGCUUUUCUAUACCUUUCACCAUUUUCAUCGGUCCUCUCCUUGUAUAAGGCUUUACAACAUUCCUUCUUAGCCUUCACCUUUGUUUGUACCUCCUCAUUCCACCACCAAGAUUCCUUUUGGUGUGGGGCAAAGCCCUUGGACUCUCCUAAUACCUCUUUUGCUACUUUUCGGAUACAACUAGCCAUGGAAUCCCACAUUUGGCUAGCUUCCCCCUCUCUAUCCCACACACAUUGGGUGAUUACCUUCUCUUUGAAAAUGGCUUGUUUUUCUUCUUUUAGAUUCCACCAUCUAGUUCUUGGGCACUUCCAAGUCUUGUUCUUUUGUCUUACUAUUUUGAUAUGUACAUCCAUCACCAACAAGCGAUGUUGAUUAGCCACGCUCUCUCCUGGUAUAACUUUGCAAUCCUUACAAGUUAUACGAUCCCCUUUCCUCAUUAGAAGAAAAUCUAUUUGUGUUUUUGACGACCCACUCUUGUAGGUGAUCACAUGUUCUUCUCUCUUCUUAAAGAAGGUGUUGGCUAAGAAGAGAUCAUAUGCCAUUGCAAAAUCCAAGAUAGCUUCCCCAUCCUCGUUUCUCUCCCAAAACCAUGGCCACCAUGAAAACCUCCAUAGUUGCCUGUCUCCCUGCCCACGUGUCCAUUUAAAUCUCCUCCUAUAAAUAACUUCUCCGUCUGAGCAAUUCCUUGCACCAAGUCUCCAAGAUCUUCCCAAAAUUUCUCCUUCGAACUCGUAUCCAACCCUACUUGAGGUGCGUACGCACUAAUCACAUUGAUAAGUUCUUGUCCUAUUACAAUCUUGAUUGCCAUGAUUCUAUCUCCUACCCUCUUGAUAUCUACAACAUCUUGUACCAAGGUCUUGUCCACGAUGAUGCCAACACCGUUUCUCGUUCUAUUUGUGCCCGAAUACCAAAGUUUAAACCCUGAGUUUUCUAGAUCCUUUGCCUUACUACCAACCCACUUAGUUUCUUGUAGGCACAUAAUAUUUAUCCUUCUCCUCACCAUAACUUCCACUACUUCCAUAGAUUUUCCCGUUAAGGUUCCUAUAUUCCACGUUCCUAAACGCAUUUUGCUCUCUUGAACUCUACCCUUCUGUCCUAGAUUCUUCACCCUCCCCCGUCUAAUAGGAUCAAAGUACUUCUUUUGUGUGUCCCGGGUAAAGUUGAUAGGAGCAUAUGCUCCCAAACAACUUUGAGUGGAGUCGUUCGAAAAGAAGUUUCUAUGGCCCCCUUGCUCAUUUAACACUGCAUCCGGGUGCCGAUGGAGAUACAGCGACCCUUGCUCACUUAUCACUGUGCUCGGGCCACACAGCGCGCCACUUACGGGUGACGCCCUAGCUUUAGCGCGAUUUUGUUCUGGAUUCAUUUUCAUAAGGAUUCGACGUGAUCAUGGAGUGCCGGCUGUCGACUACCUGACGCCCUCCCCCUCCUCCUUUAUCCGGGCUUGGGACCGGCCAUGUAAGACAUAGGCGGAGUUGGGAGAGAAAUAUCUAAACUGGAGAAAAUAAAUGAGGCCUAUCGAACAAACACGGAUCCAGAUAAGGUAGAUAUAUUACUAGAUACACAAAAAUGACAUAUUUUCUAAUAAGCGUAGUGCACAUUGGUUUAAAAGGUGUGUCCAUAAAUUUGUCAGUUUUUUGUGUUGCUAUAAAAUUUUAAAUAGAAUUAUAUAACACUUGUAUAAAUGUGCAAUACUAUUUGUAGGUCUUCGGUGCAAGCGUGGUCACAUAUGUGAAUGACAAUACAAACGGUGUAUCCAAAAUUACAUUUGAAGACCAUAGAAAGACUACUACUUCUUCAAUAUACCUCGUUGUCAUUUUUCUAUGGUCUUCAAAUGUGAUUUUGAAUAUACCGUUCGUAUUGUUAUUCACAUAUGCGACCACGUUUGCACCGAAGACCUUCAAAUAAUAUUGCACAUUUAUACAAAUGUCAUAUAAUUUUAUGUAAAGUUUUAUAGCAGCACAAAAAACUGACAAAUUUAUGGACACGCCUUUUAAACCAAAGUGCACUACACUUGUUAGAAAGGGUGUUAUUUUUGUGUAUCUAGUAAUAUAUCUACCUUAUCCGGAUCCAUGUUUGUUCGAUAGGCCUCCUUUAUUUUCUCCAGUUUAGAUAUUUCUCUCCCCGUUAUGCAUUUCUUCUUCUUACUGCCCGUGUUAUUUUCUGGCUGCCGUUCCUUUAUUUCCGAUGUCGAAUUGUCUAUCAGUGUUGACAUGUUCUCUUCUCUUUCCAUCGUCUGUGACUGUGAUCAAUCGGUAGCAAUGGCCAGAGCCACACAUACAAAUCCCAACGGGAACGCUAGCGUCAUGUGGAUAAAUUUUGCCAGCAUGACGACAACCAAUGCUGAUAUAUGAGGAAAGAAUUGCGCGCCAUUGAGGGUGUAAAAUCCCACAUCGACUAACAAAGAGGGGGUAAUGUGCCUUAUAUGUACAUGCCCACCUCUUAUAGCACUAGGCCUUUUGGGAACUCACUGGUUUUGGGUUCCAUCGGAACUCUGAAGUUAAGCGAGUUCAGGCAAGAGUAAUCCCAGGAUGGGUGACCACCUGGGAAGUUCUCGUAUGAGUUCCCAAAAACAAAACCGUGAGGGCGUGGCCGAUGCCCAAAACAGACAAUAUUGUGCUACAGCAGAGUCGAGAUUGGGAUGUGACAGAGGGAACCCUGAAAAGUUCCCCCUAUAGUUAAUUUGUUGUUUUAGUGUAGCCUACAAAUUUAACUACACAAAAAUAAGAAGAUUAUGCAGAGUUAAGAGUAGAAACAAUGCCGAUUAAUCACAGAUAAUCAAAUUACUUUUGCCAGAAAAUAAUAUUUAAUGGCGUUAACAAUUUAAUACGCAAAUUGAUGGCAGCAGGCACAAUGCCAUGCACAAGUAUGAACAGGAACACAUAGAAAAGACAAAUUAGAGCAGCCGUAAGACUCAAAAUGCGUAAAAUUUAAAAGAAUUAAAGAAUCUUACAAUAGAAUCCCGAUGAGCCACCAUUCGACUCUGACGGACCAACUUUUGCCUCCAUGGUUAGAGACAAUCGAAAAGCAAAAUUUUAGAGCAGAUAAAACUAAAGUAUAAGCAGGGCUAAGUGCCCAAGCUCAAUAUUUAUAAGGCACGAGAUAGUCUCAACCUUAGUGUUGCAUCUUCUUGCAUACCAACGUACUUUGUAGCCCUAGGCUUUGACCAAGUAACAGAAAUUAGGGUCCGAAAUAAGAAAAAAAUUAGGGUACGAGUAAAAAGUUAGGGUCUGAAACAAGGAAGAAACUAGGGCAGAAAAGUAAAAAGCUGGGUCCGAAAUAAUUUUGUAUUAAUCUAAAUAAAAGUUAAAAUGCAACUCUAAGAAUUUGUAGCAUAAAACUUGAUUUCAUUCAUUCCUCAAAUGUCUAUAUUCAAGUUAGUAUUAAUCUAAAUAAAAGUGAAAAUGCAACUCAAGAAUUUGCGAUCCAAUUUGCUACUUGGGGUCCGAAUAGAGUUCAAACUCAAUUAAACCACACAAUGGACAACCUAAUUUGGUAUCGAAUUCACCAUAUAUGAGAUUCGAAUCUAAGGCUUCUCAUUUUUAAACGAAGAGGAAUUCCACCAGACCGUAGUACUUAGUGGCAAUUUAUAAAAUGUUCGCUAAUCAAUUAAUUAAUCAAAUUACUUAAUUUAGAGGAUGAUGGCCGUAUUAUCUAUUUUUUAGAGAAACCAGUCUUCUUUCCAGCAUUUAAUAAUAGGGUUAAGGAGGAUUUUAAGAUCUCGUUUGGUAGCUCGGACUGUACUGAUUAUUUAUGUCGAAUAGGAUAAAUAUCUACCGGAAUGUACUGACUAAAUUAGUCGGGCAUUUAGUGCAAUAUCAGACUAAUGACCGUAUUAUUUAUACUGUGUUUGGUACUGAACCGGAUAAGGAAAGGGAAGAAAAAAAAAAUUGACAAAUCUUUCUUUAUUUGUUGAACUUUUCUCAUAUCUAUACCUAUUCAAAACCACACAAAUUUUCAAAUAACAAAGAAAAAUAGUAAAUUCCAUACAUCAAAUUCAAAAUAUUUUCCAAUAACAUAAAAGAAGGUUUACAAAAGACAACUACAGUCGUUACGUUAUAUAGAUUAAUCCAACCACAUAUCCAAGUUCACAAAAUAUACAAAUGCAAGUUGGUUUCAGUACGAAACAGUUUGUCCAUAUGGCCAAAAUAUAUGCAUGCUGCUGCUUUGCUUUCAGUACAAAGCAAUUUGUCCAAGUACCCAAAAUAUAUACAUGCUGCAGCUUUUAACAAAAGAUAUGCAUGCUGCUUUUAACAAAAUAUAUCGUUGUUGUUUUCCAAGUACCCAAAAUAUUUAUCACCAGCAUGUAUGAAUAGGUAACUAAAGACUAAGUGCAGGAAUCCAUUUCACCCAUUAUAUGACUCACAAAAGCUCAUGUUUCAAUAAUGAUACUGUAUGGAGGAACAUGACCACAACAACAUACAGAAACAUGAGGAUCCGGUUAAUGGAUAAUCUGGAGGGAAAUGAAUUGAAACUAGAAAAACAUCACCUGUGUAUGGGCUAUCACCAGGUCCCAUAAUUGUCGCCUGCCAACGGAACAUGUCCUCGGCCACAGGACCUAUAAUGCAUGAAAGAGAAACCCACAAGAAGAAUGUAUGCCAAGUUCAGUAAAGUGAUCAAAAUAUGCGUACACCCGAGAAACAUAAGAUGCAUGAGCCAGCAUACAAGACCUAGACAAGACCAGCUACAAUGUGAGAAUAUCCAACCAUCACUUUUUUUACAUCAGUUAAACCAUUAAAGGAGGAUUGUUUCGCUCCCAAAUGGACCAUCCACAAAUUUGCUACAUCUUUAUUUCCUAAUCGAUAAAGCAAAGGGUUAAAAUUUCAGUUCUUUUUUUCUUUUCUUUUCUGUUCAAUUGAUGAAAAGGGGCCAAUUUUUGGCUAAAAAUCUGAGCUGGAAACAGUUGAAAUCAUCGAAAAAACCCCGCUAAUUAGCUGCAAUUAGAACUACCAUCUACAAUUCUAAGACAAUUAUAAAUAUGGGAUCCAAAUUUAAUAAAAAGACAAGGGAUUUGUUCAAGGAAAAGGAGCAAAUACCAGCACUGCAUGAGGUAGGGGGGGGUCCUUCUGCAAAUCCUUGAGCUCCUUCAAGAUGCGUUUAGAUGCCAUGACAACACCUACAAACACACACAAUCACACAAAACACAACCUGAAAAACCCAACAACAAAUCUAAAAUUCGACCCAACAGCAAACCCUAAAAUUCGACCCAACAGCAAACCCUAAAAUUCGAAAAUUCUAAUUAAAACCCAAAAUUAAAUAAUCAAUUGCAUAAUUAGAGAGAAAACAAUAACUAGAUUCAAUCAAUUCAAAGAAAAUUGCAAGAAAAAUAGAAGGAGGGGAAGAACAGAGGGAGGGGCGGAACCUGGGAAGAAGAAGAAAAAUGAGAAGAUGAACUGAAUAGGAUGGAAAACGAAGAGGAAGAAGGCAUUUGAGAAGACGAACCAUGAGAGUGCAAGCGCGCGAGAGGCAGAGAGAGCGUCUGGAGAAGACGAGUGUGCGUCUGGAGAGGAAGGAGAGAGCGACUAAAUUGUCCGUUGGUUUUAGAGAGUAUAUAAGGAAGCGGUUAUUCAGCAGUACAAAAUAAGUGGAGCAGGAUUAUUUAGUCCGGUGACUAUUUAAUAUAAACGGACAUCAAAUACUAUAUUUCGUAUGAUUAGUAUCAUCCGAUGCCAAACGAGGAAGGGUUAAAGAUGCAACCAAGUUUUUUUUUUUUUCUCUUCGUUGUGAGAGUCUUCCCUCCUCUGUGAGAGCCUGCAACUAGAUAACACCGCCCUCAUCUGAACCAUACCAGAUCUAAUAUUGCGCAUCCCCUUCCAGUUUUCAACCAUUUCCUACCUUUCCCCAGAUUUUCAAUUGUCCGUGAAUUCGAUUUCAACUAACCCUAGUCUGGGUAGUUGGGUUUAUUAAGAGCCUGCGUAUCUUACACCUUUCCUCCCUUGUUCAUUAAUUGACUCUGUCCUCUUCGACCAUCAUCAUUGAUUUCUCCAUAUCUUUUCCCUCUGCUCAUGCGGUGUGAGUAGUUGGGUCUUACGGCUGAGGAAUUGAAGGCUUUCAAUACAACUGGGUCAUUAUGGUCUACUGGGUAUUGUGGAUUGGCCUGUCCUUUAGAGCAAUUCCACCCUAAAGACUUUAGGCCAACAAUCAGCACAUUUAUUCACUUAAGUAGAUAGUAAUAUAUCUCAAUGAACAGUAAUAGACCAAAGCAUCUUCAUCCCUAAAAAAAUGCAUUUGAGAAGAAGGCAUUUGAAAAGACGAACCAUGAGAGAGCAAGCGCGAGAGGUAGAGAGAGCGUAUGGAGAGAACAAGUGUGCGGCCUAGUUUGGUGAGUUGAUUAUGAUAAAAGUGGUUAUAAAAAAAAACGCUUUUUUUUUUGUUUAGUAAAUAUUCAGCUUCAGCUUUUUUCACAGUUUUGGAUGAAAAAAAGUCAAAAACACAAAGCUGCAAAACCGAACUUUGAAAAUUCGAUUUUUUUCACAUCUGUUUUACAUAAAAAUUUACCAAAUUCUAUAAUACUGUUUUUUUUUUUCAAAAGCACUUUUACAAAAAAGUUUACCAAACACUCAGCUGCUUUAUUUCACAGCUGUUUAUUCUCACAGUACAAUAGAAACAACUUUUUUUUUUUUUCAAAGCACAGCAAUACCAAACCAGCUUUGCGUCUAGAGAGGAAGGAGAGAGCGGUAUUCACAGUAUAAAAUAGGUGGCCCAGAUUAUUUAUGGUGGGCUAUCUACCCACCCUAUUUUACUUUUCAAACACCUUGAUAAUAUAUGUCCAUUGAUCUUCUUCAAUUCAUCCGAUCCAACGGUCGAAAAUUAAAAAGACGAAUGAGAAGUAAAAUAAGAUGUGUGGAUAUCAUAUCCCUUAUUUUAAUAUAAAUGGACACCAAUCACUGAACUCCGUAUUAUUAGUACUAUCUGAUGUACUAUACGAUAUGCCAAACGAGGCCUAAAGGGUUAUGUGCUAUUUGAUAUUAAUUUCAGCUUCACACCGUAAGUUUCUUCCUGAACGUUCCAUUCCUCGUUAUUUAAAUUUUAAUGGUCGAUAUUCUGUUAUAUAAUAGGAUUGAUAUAAUCUAUCUGGCAGCUCUUGGUGUGUUUAAAUCUGAAUCAGGAUACUCAGGAAACUCUAAAUAUCCUGAUUCAGAUUUUCAGUAAGUUCAAACUUCGACUGUAUUUUGGUAGGUCUCGAUAGUAUAGGUUAAGCUUUUCACAUGUGAGCUGACAACCUGAGGUCAAGAUUAGGGCUUAGGGUAGGGGUGGUUUGAAUCGGGAUACCGAACUGAAAAGCAUAAACAGAAUCCCGAACCUAUCACUUUCGGGGAUCGGAUUCCGAUCGCCAAAACCGAACUGAAAUUUCGGUAAUCCGAAAUUCUACCGAAAUUCGGGAUUCCUAAAAAUUUUCGGUACUACUUCAACAUGCAUGCUCAGAAAUCCAAUAUUUGAAACGGAAAAUCAUGCUCAGAAACUCAACAUCCAAUUGUAGAAAUCUAACCUACUCAGAAAUUCAAAACGAAUCAAAUAAAGAAAUCCAAUCACAAAAAUCCAAAUUCAAUUUUAAAUCGAAAAAUAAUACAAAACAAAACCCUAUAUUUCGACAAUAAUUCAGAACAAAUACCUCGAUUUUGGGCUCGAGAGUCGCUCGAUCGAGAGAAUGAGAGAGAGAUAGCAGCAGGUGUGUGUAGUUUGUCUGUGAUGUGGUCGAGACAGAGAGGGUAUGGUGUGGUAAAAUUGCGUUAGAGAAGUUUAAUGUGUUUUCAGUCUCUCAAUGACUUGCCUCGGCGGGUCUGCGAAUCAAGCUGGGCGAGGCUGUCAAGAUGGC